CUCUCCCUCCUCGACCCCUAGCUCCUCUACCGCCAUCGCCACCCCGACCUCUGCCAAAACUAUCUCCUCUACCUCCACCACCAUACGGUUGAGCCGCUGGCAUCUCCGGCUCCCAUAGCAGUCAAUCACCCCAUUCAAAAGAGCUUGGGUCGUGUAUGCCGGCUCCACAUUCAUCAGCCAAGUGACCCAUCCGGCCACACGCAAAGCAAAAGUCUGGAAGCUUCUCAUAGAAAACACUGAAUUUUUUGUGCUCCUUCAAGGUGAUUGGAAACAAACCUGACUAGUGGCUCAUAAACAUCAACAAAUACCCUGGCUCGUAGUGUACUCGCCGGGUUUAUCCUUCCCUCAUUCACCACAACUGUAAAAGGAGGAUCUCCCACCUUUGCAGCUACCUUCUCCGCCAGCUCCCUUCUCCUUGUCAGGCCAUCAGGCAAGCCCUUGACUCGAGCCCACAGCGGGAUCUUGUUUAGUCUAUAACCAUUAACAUCAGAGAAACCGUCAUACUCCUGCAGCACCACGGGCGCCCGCCGGAACAGCCACGGCCCUCCCUCCAUGAUCUUCCUCCAGUCUCCCAAACAGUGGCAUUGCACAAGAAAUAGAUUGGGUCCCUUGAUGUUGAAGGUGACACCUGCGCCGCCGACCAGGCAUUCGCAUUUGCGUCAAUAGCGCCGCAUGGCUAAACGGUUUUGUCGUAUGAACACGGAACAACGCUAACCAGCGAACAUCCUUGAUCAAGUCUUCCACCUCCUCCGAGAAAUCCAGAUCCUCCUCUUCCUUCCCAUGUAGCUUCAUCCCGGCGAACUAAUCUUCAAGAUCUGGCCCCGGUCCAAAGUACGCGCCAUGCUCAUUCUCCCCUCCGUCAGAUGCGUUCCUCCUUGCCUGCGAGCUGUUCAUCCCCCCAUCAUCCGCCAUGGAAUUAUCUUGGCUUAUCUCUCCACUCAAAACCCCAGGUACUUCAGAUCCGAUCGGCCCCCUGCACCUAACCCUACUUCCGCCGCCAUCGCUUCCUCCUGACCCCCUGGCUCCUGUCGCGUUGGAUCCGCCAUGCAAGCGAACGUGCACGGCGGGGAUGUGGUAGAUCUCACCGGCAGCCGGAGUGAUCCGGCGAUCGGCGAGGUUUUACGUGGACUCUAGUGCAAGAUCGCCAAAGGAAAGGUGGAACCCUAAAAAACUAGGGGAAAACCGCAGUGGGAGCGUACAGAAAAGAUGAGGAUUUGAGGGAUGGUAGGGUUUAUAUAGUUACAAAACGAAUACAAACGUGUCCUAAAUCUGCAAGCCCAGGCAUGAAAGGAAGCCCAUAACCAAAAUAACUCGGCCUCCUAGAGGCCCAAUAAAAGAAAAACCCCCACCCAACCUCACCGGAGUCGGCUGCCACUGCCACCAUUUCUCUCUCACCGUCUGCCUCCUUCCUCGCGUGCGUGCGGUCCCCGGUCCCUGUACGUCCUGCCCCACCACUCCGGCGGCGGCGGCGCCGGUGGCGUUGCACCAUCCUGGUAACCCCACCCCUUCUUCUAUCUCUCUCCCUNNNNNNNNNNNNNNNNNNNNNNNNNNNNNNNNNNNNNNNNNNNNNNNNNNNNNNNNNNNNNNNNNNNNNNNNNNNNNNNNNNNNNNNNNNNNNNNNNNNNNNNNNNNNNNNNNNNNNNNNNNNNNNNNNNNNNNNNNNNNNNNNNNNNNNNNNNNNNNNNNNNNNNNNNNNNNNNNNNNNNNNNNNNNNNNNNNNNNNNNNNNNNNNNNNNNNNNNNNNNNNNNNNNNNNNNNNNNNNNNNNNNNNNNNNNNNNNNNNNNNNNNNNNNNNCUACUGUAGAUAGGGUCCGUGUCGUGCUGAAAAUUCCAGCACCCACCCCACAUUAGGCUUCUUUGCGGGAGGCACGGGGCUCGGAACCGACGCGCCUCAUCUCAUCUUGGCGCGUGCUAGCGUUUGAUUUCCCUUCUGUUGCGAAAUUUCCCUUGUUUUUAAGCCGCUGCGUCAGUUCAUCCGAUUAGUACGGGUGUCUGAAUGGAACCUAGAUGCAUUAGUUUGUUUCGGAAGCGUGGGUUCCCUUUUCCUUACAAUAUUACCCCCUCUUUUACAAAAUUACAAAAUUCUUGAUUUCUCACUGCCUUGUGUCAUUGUGUGGAAGUCCAUCCUUCCUUGAUCAGGGGCGCCUUCUGCACAUCUUGGAUUGACUAGUUAGUUUUGUGCAAUGCAGGGAUAGAACUACACUUGAGAGCCUAUCCUAAUGUCACUGCUUAUCUUUUAUGCCCUAAUCAGCAAGUCCUCAUCUUCCCAUGGAUAAAGCUAUUCGUAUAUUCAUGCUGCCACUAGUGCCGGUAAUUAUUAGUGAUUCAGAUGACUCAUCAUGAAAGCUGAUGCUGUUGAUCUGGUUCUCUUACAAUUAUAUGAUGAAAUGUGGGUGCAAUUUUGAAUUGCUUGUUAUCAAUACCACGAGUCGCCUGCAUGGACAAGGUGAAUGAUAUGUGGGUGCAUAGUUAUGAUUAGUGGUGACAUGUUUUCAGGUGCCACGAGCAAUGGUGAGGAGCCGCUCUCCCAAGGGCGGAGAUGACGGCAGGCGACGAAGCACUCCUAGGAGAAGUUCUGAUGAGCAAGGAGGAAGGAAGGAAAAAGGUCCUAUAAGCCUCUUGGUGCGUAACAUCCCUCAUAACUGCAGGUACAGAAUUUCGAACCCCCCCCGCCUGCUAUUUAUACUGGGCCAUGUUUCAUGUUUGUGGUUUCUAACUUGCUCGUCCUCAUGAUUUUCACAAUUUCCUGCAGAUAUGAAGAUCUUCGAGUUCCUUUUGCAAAGUUUGGUCCUGUUCGGGAUAUUUACAUGCCAAAAGAUUACUACAGUGGGUAAGUGUUACCGAAGCGCCAACUGAUUUUCUCUCAUUAGACAUUUAGGCAUGUUCGACCACUGAAGAUCCAGCAGCUUUUCUCUUACUGAUGUGCUUGAAGAGUUAGAAGAGCAACCUUUUGGGGUGCUUUUCUUCUGCUCAUAUGGAAAAAUGAUUGUUAAUGUCUGCAUGGCCCCAAACUCUGAGUCCUUACAUACUGCAUGGAGAAGCUGACCAGUGACAUAUCAAUUUUGCAUAAAAGCCCCACGUGUACCCUAUUUCCUCCUUUUGUUUGUAUUUGUUGCAAAAUCCAUAAAUAUUGCAGAAUAGAUUUAUGAUAAAUGUAUAAGCCUAGUAACUCAUUGAAGUCUCAAACUUAAUAAUUUUAACAACCUAUAGAGUACGGAGGAUAUAGGUACUUUAUCUUUUGCUAUUUAUGUGUUCUCUUCUGGUGUGAAUCACUCUUUGGAAUGAUUUCCAGGAUGUCUUGAAGUACAUGUGAUUAGAUAGAGUCUUGUGCGAGAAGUUCUUCUAGGAAGACAAGAUUCGGUUUGUUGGCAAAAUUGAUUUUCUGAAGAGAUGAUGGUUUUACUGGACCUUCCAUGUGAAAGUUAUAGCUGUGAGAAGUUGGUUUCAAGUACUUUGAUGAUUUUUCAAACAUUUGAGGAAUUUGAAGUGAAUCGUUUUUAUGAAGAUGUGAUUAUACAACAAAUUUGGCUACUAGAAUAGCAUGGGCUCUCAACUGGUUUUUGGGAAGCUCGCUACUAUUUUGGUGGAAAUGCUAGUAAGUUAUUGGCUGUGUUUUGUGAAGAAUCGUACAGGGUUAGCUUAUACGAAACUGUGGUGGUAACUCGUCGGGCACAUACUACCUUUUAUCAAUAUGUGUUUUUAAUUUGUAUAGCAUGGUCUGAAUAUUAUUUAUCUAACAUUUUAUAAUUAUCAUAUUAACAUAUGUGCUGUGCAGGGAGCCAAAAGGGUUUGCUUUUAUUGAGUUUUUUGACUCCCAUGAUGCUUCUGAGGCGCAAUAUCACAUGAACCAUAAGUUGUUUUGCGGACGUGAGAUUAAAGUUGAGCCUGCCACAGAUAAACGGAAAAGGCCCGAAGACAUGCGUAGACGAACUGGAGUAAGGUAGGCCAUACCAAUCACUAUGUUGGAAGUUUCUUCUGUUUCAUUGUUUUCUUUUUUGUUGAGAAAAUUUGUAUGUUUUAUUUUUGUUAACUUGUGUUCCUGCACUGCAGAGUUCAUUCUGGUUCUAAAGGGCACGAUCUUUCUCGCCAUGGUAAUCUGUUUUAUUUUCAUCUGCUAUACUUGUGUGUCCUUUUCAUCAUGAUGCUUUGCCGAAUUCUGGGGAGUUUAGGUGAUCUUCUUUUACUGAUAGAAACUGUAAGCUCCCCACUUUAUCUUUUGAUGUUAGAUAAACUCUAAAGUAAAUAUGAACACAAAAAGGUAGAGUCAUGGUUCAUUUAGUUGUAUGCCUACAAAAGACCCAAAGUGAUCUGACUCUUCCCGGAACCUGCGCAAGCGGGAGCUACACGCACAAGGCUGCCCUGGUAUAUAUAUUGCAAUUCCUUUUCAUUGGUUCUAUCUUCACCGGACAGUAGUUUUCCUGCCAGGGCCACGCCUGCUGGUAUCUGGCAGAAAAAUCUCCUUUUCAAAAUUAAUAUCGUAUUAGAAUGAGUCUAUACCAUGUGCUACAAAUUGCAAUAUUGAUAAAUUGCUAUCUUCCUUGAAGGACGGUCUCGUUCUCGUUCACACUCCCGUUCUCCUCGCCAAGGUGGUCGUGAUAGAUCACGGUAUUUCAGCGAAUCUUGCCAAAUGAGUGCCUCACCAUGAAGAAGUGUGCGAAAUAUUUGGUUUAUUAUUAAUAAGUGAUCUCACCUACACUGUAGGUCACAUUCUCCUGCCCCAAGAAGGCAUGGUGACUACUCUGCUUCACCAAAGAGAAAGGAAGAGUGCCAGGCAAAAUCAUCAGGACAAUCAAAAGAACAUGACAACGAUAAGAAGCUGGGAUCCUGUACUCCUGGUGGUAGAAGUGAACGUCAUGACACUGAUAAUGAUUCCAAUGAGUAAGUUCUGUCCCUUCACUGCUGCUAAAUUUUAAUCAAGACAAGUAGACAACCAUGAGGACACCCUGAGGAGGCCAGUCCUUGAGCGCGUGUGGACUGGACACAUACCUUUAGCCAACCGAGUGCUGCUUGUUUCUCGGCGUUUGUACCUCUGUAACAGUACUGUAUAUGGCCAGGAGGCGGGCAACACCUAACUAUUCUGCUGCACCAAAGAGAACGGAAGCGUGCCAGACAAAAUCACCAAGGCAGGCAAAUGAACAUGAUGAGGAUAAGAAGCAUAUAUCUUUUAGUCCUGAUAGAAACAACCACCGUGAUGCUGACAAUGGCCACAAUGAGUAGGUUCUGACAUCCUGUUUCUACUGUGCUGCUAAAUGCAGCUUGUGUAAUCCAGUUAUACUAUUCUAGAACUAAUGUUGUCCAUGCUCUCCUUCCAAGGCGAGAUGACUACUCUACUUCAUCAAAGAGAAAGGGAGAACGCUUGUCAAAAUCACUAAGAUUGUCCAAAGAACAUGAUGAGGAUAAGAAGCGGAGAUCCUAUAGUCGUGAUGAUCGAAGUGACUGCCGUGAUGCUGAUAAUAGUUUCAAAGAGUAAGUUCUCUUCUUUCACUGCUACUAAAUGUGACUGCGAAAUAUCUAGUUAGCUAAUAUGGAACUAAUACAUGUAUGUAGUUACGUCAUCUUAUCUAAAGGUUAUUUUACUGCACAAUUUGAGUACAGCAUCAAUCUUGUGUGUACAAUAGCUAAUCAUCUGUGUACGACAAUAGAUUGUUUGUGAUGUAAGCCUCGGCAUACGCAAACUUAAUUUAUUCUCGACCAAUAGUGUAUUGCGGUCUAUUGAAUCUGUACUACUUGCAUUUCAUGUAUGAUAUUUUGGCCUUGUCGCAUACCCAUAGGCCAUGACAUAUACCACUAGAUCUGUCAAAAUACAUGAAGUUUUUACUGUGUCUUUCUUGAGAUCUGUUACAUCGGAAGUACUUAUAUCUUGAUAGGGCUACAUAUCCUACUAGAAACAUGUUACUACCGUGUGAGUAUACAUUAUUCGCUAUAGUGACACUGAUAUCAUGCCCCAGAACCUUCUUUUUAGAGUUUAGUAAUUAUCUCCAGGACAUAGUUGCACAGUUCAUUGCCAUCAGCAUAUGUAAUCUAUUGGUGAGAAAAAUUAUCGCAUUUAGCUAUUGUUUUGACAUGGUUGUGGUUGCAUCCAUGCUUUUUUAUUACCAUUGUGCUGCUCGCUGUUUGUAUUACUGAACAGUGUUCUAUUUAGGAUUGGUUACAUGAUCUGUGUGCACAGUUCAGAUUUAUUUGUAUGGUUGUCAUAUGAAUAAAUGGUUAAUUGCAUUCCUUUUGUACAUAUCCGCCAUUGUAGUAACAAUGUGUGUGUUGACAGGAGCCGGGCAACAACUGAUGCUAAGAGAUCCUGUCCCCGCCAGAGGUCACCCAGACCAUCCGCUGGAUCACACUCAAGAAGGCGAGAUGCCUACUCUGCUUCCCCAAAGGGAAAAGAAGAGCGUCGGGAACAAUCACCAAGACAGUCAAAAGUACAUGAUAAACAUAGGAAGCGGAGAUCCAAUACUCCUGAUGAUAGAAAUGACUGUCAUGGUGCUGAUCAUAGUCACAACGAGUAAGUUUUGUUUCUAAACUGCUACUAAAAGUUACUGGCAUGAUCUAGUUAUGCUAUACAGAACUUAUGUUCAUACUCCCCUGACCUAAGAAUGCAAGGUGACUGCUCUACUUCACCAAAGAUUAAGGAAGAGCGCCAGGCAAAAUCAUCAAGAGAGUCAGAAGAAUAUAACAAGGAUACAAAGGGGAGAUCCUGUGCCCCUCAUGAUAGAAAUGACCACCAUGAUGCAGUUAAUGGUUCCAGAGAGUAAGUUCUCUUCCUUGAUUGCUGCUAAAUGGCAUGAUCUAGUUGUGAUAAUCCAGGACUAAUGGACUAAUGGUGUUACACUUAUUGGUGUCUUGAACUUCAUCCCUUUAACCCCUUGCUUCAGUAUAUCGGUUACAGCCUGCAAUAAAUUGAUAGUUGUUAGUUAUCCUUUUUGGAUUAUUUUUUACCUGUACAGCACCAAUCAUGUGUGUGCAAUAGCUGAUCCUCUGUGUUGGAUAACAUAUAGUUUGUGAUCAAACCUGGGCGUACAGACUUAAUUUUUUUUCUCGCCCAGGAGUGUAUUAUGGUCUACUGGACCUAUAUUAAUUGAAUUCUAUGGGUGAUCUAUUUAGCCUUCUCGCGUAGCCAUAACCUGCACCACUAUAUUGUCUGCCAAAAUAUAUGAAAAUGGUCUACUCUUCCUUUCACAAACAUUAUCAUAUCGAAAGUUCUUCCUUUCCUCUAGGGCUACAUAUCCUUCUCGAUGCAUGUUAAUUCUGAGUGAGUACACCAUUCGCCAGAACCUUCAGAGUUCAGUACUUUUUUCCAGAACGUGUGUAGUUGUGUACAGUUCACUGGCAUCAGCUUUCCCAGAGCUGGCAUUAAGUUAACAAAAGUAUUAUAACACUGCGCAGAGGACCACAAAGAACAAAGAAAUUACAAGCAAGUCCUUCCGUUUUACAUUCAGGACCCCAAGAGAGAACACAAAAACACAAUCGAUUCCUGAAUUGUCCGGUGAUCUCGCCGGAGAUGCCUUGGCCACAGCCUUGUCAGCGUAGGGCAAGGAAAAUAGGGCCUCUCUUCUGGAGGUUGAAGAAGGGGAGGUCGGAGUUUGCUGGCAAAUCUACAUGAAGCCAGCGUUGCACCCAAGUCGCCCAAAUUGCUCGUCGGAGGCAAAUCUUUGUUUGAUCUGAAGCUCCGGCGGCGGAGGUCGGCGCAGAGGAAGAUGAGAAAGCUCCGAUGCCAGCCGAUAACCCCUCGGCAUGCCGGCUCUGCAAUGUCCCGAGCCAGAUCCGCCAUCCUCUCCCCUAACGCCACAGCAGCGGCUAAGAGAGCAUGUCAGAGCAGCUCGAAAAACCUCUAGAUCCGUCGUCCACAUGAGUUUAUUUUCAAAGCCGUCGCUGGAUCCACCCCUUUCAGCUGCCGUCCACCAUGGAUGGAAACUAGAUGUAGAGGCCUCCACCGGUCGCCGCUCAGGGGCGCCGAUGCCAAGCUUCUCAACGGCAUGUAGCCAAACGCUAUCAAGGCAAACCACGAUGACCUAGAUCUACCCCGACAAUACAGAGCAGCGACACAUCUCCCUUCCCAUGCCCACUCUGGACGGUGGAGCCGCUGGAGGAGAAGGGGAGAGGAGCCGGGCUAGGGCAGGCGACUCUCAAGGAGACGAGGAGGAGAGAGAAGGGAAGGAAGAGAAUGAGAGCCCCUUGGCAUCAGCUUAUACAAUGCAGUAUAAUCUUUUGGCUAGAAAAGUCCUGAUUUCACCUUAGUUCUGACUUCUGACAGGAUUGUGGUUGCACCUUUGGUUUUUUGCACCAUCGUACUGCUCAUUGUUUAGGAUUAUUUACGUGAGGUGUGUGCAUUAUUUCUAUGUGGUCAUAUACGAGUAAAUGGUUUACAUUCCUUUUCUUUAUGUUUGUAUCUUUAUAGUAGCAAUUGCAUGUCAACAGGAAGCCGGUAACACCUGACGAUGAGGGGUCCCAUGCCUGCCGGAGGUCACCCAGACCAUCUUCUGGAUCACGCUCAAGAAAGCGAGAUGACUGUUCUGCUUCCCCAAAGAAAAAGGAAGAGAGCUGGGCAAAGUCACCAAAGCAGUCCAUUGAAUACAAGGAUGAAAAGAGGAGGUCAUGUACUGCUGAUGAUAUAAAUGGCCGACAUCAUGCUGUUAAUUGUUACAAGAAGUAAGCUGUGUUCCUGCUGCUAAAUGUUAUUGACGUAAUCUAGUUAUGCUUUAGAGAAUUGAUGUUUUUCAAUCUUCAUAUUCUGCUGCCCCAAGAAAGCGAGAUGGCUACUCUGCUUCCCCAAAGAUAAAGGAGGAGUGCAGGGCGGAAUCACCACGACCGACAAAAGAACGUGAGGAUAAUGGUGGAAUAGACCGUACUGAUGCUGACAAUGGCUACAAUGAGUAAGUUCAGUUCCUUCGCUGCUGCUAAAUUUGACUGGGGUAAUCUGCUAUUCCCAGAACUUCUGUUGUUAUACUUAUUGGGAUGUCAAACUUCAUCUUCUUAAUCCUUAGCGGUGUCUACCAGACACAGCUCACACGUCACAAUAUUACUUAUGUAGAUGUUUUCUACAGCACAUCCUGUAUAACAGUCACAGUUGACAGUAGAUUGAAGAUAUCCUACUAAACUCAGCUUCAUUCUGAGUAUUGGGAAGUACAUAUAUGCUAUUCUGACAUUGUUAUGAUGCACCAGAACCUUCUUGGGGAGUUGAGUAAUUUACUGGCAUCAGAGUAUAUAGUCUGCCGGGGAGAAACUUGCUGUUUUAACUAGAGUAAAGGUUGUUGCAUAUAUGAUUUUCAUUCUAAUGUCAUCGUACCGCUUGCUGUUUGUUUUGCUAAAUUGUGUUCUGUUUAGUAUUGAUAGACAUAUUUUAUUGCAUGCAUUGUUUGCACAGCUUUGAUUUAUUUCCAUGUUGAUCAUAUGUUAAUGUUAGUACUUUUUGGUCAUUUACACCUCUGUAAUAACGGUGUAUGUUGUUCACAGGAGGCGUGCAGGACCUGACUCUGCUUCACAGAAGAGAAUGGAAAAGCCUCCCCAAGCAAAAUCACAAAGCCAGUCGAAAGAAUAUGAUAACGGUAAGAACAGAUCCUAUACCCAUGAUGAUGGAAAGGAGUGCCGCGAUGCUGAUAAUGUUUCCAAAGAGUAAGCUCUGUUCCUUCAUGCUGCUAAAUGUGGCGGUAUAAUCUUGUUAUGCUAUCAAGAACUAAUAGUUUUUAUACUCUACUAUCUCAAAAAGGCGAAAGGACUACUCAGCUGCUGGAAAGAGAAAGGAAGAGCGCCAGGCAAGUUUACCAAGACAAUCAAAGGAACAUGAUGAACAUAAGAAGAGGGGAUCCUAUACUCGUGAUGAUAGAAAUGACCUCCGUGAUGCUGAUAAUGGUUCCAAAGAGUAAGCUCUGUUCCUUCAUGCUGCUAAAUGUGAUGGGUGUAAUCUUGUUAUGCUAUCCAGAACUAUUAGUUUUUAUACUCUAUACUGUCCCAAGAAGGCGAAAGGACUACUCAGCUUCUGGAAAGAGAAAGGAAGAGCGCCAGGCAAGUUUACCAAGACAAUCAAAGGAACAUGAGGAGCAUAAGAAGAGGGGAUGCUAUACUCGUGAUGAUAGAAAUGACCUCUGUGAUGCUGAUAAUGGUUCCAAAGAGUAAGCUCUGUUCCUUCAUGCUGCUAAAUGUGGCGGGUGUAAACUUGUUAUGCUAUCCAGAACUAAUAGUUUUUAUACUCUACUGUCACAAGAAGGCGAAAGGACUACUCAGCUGCUGGAAAGAGAAAGGAAGAGCGCCAGGCAAGUUUACCAAGACAAUCAAAGGAACAUGAUGAGCAUAAGAAGAGGGGAUCCUAUACUCCUGAUGAUAGAGAUGACCCCCGUGAUGCUGAUAAUGGUUCCAAAGAGUAAGUUAUGUUGCUUCACUGCUGCUAAAAUCUGAUUAGUGUAAUCUUACUUCUUUUAGCAUGUGACAGGUGUAAUCUUGUUAUGGUAAUGCCAGAACUAAUGUUUUUUAUACCUCACCUUCCUAAGAAGGCGAAAUGAUUACUCAGCUUCCCGAAAGAGAAUGGAGGACUACAGAGCAAAAUCAUCAAGACAAUCAAACGAACAUGAUGAUGAUAAGAAAAGGGGAUCGUAUACUCCCGAUGAUAGAAGCCACCGCUCCGAUGCUGAUAAUCGUUCGAGAGAGUAAGCCAUGUUCCUUCACUGCUGCUCAAUGUGAGUGUAAUCUUGCUACGCUAUUCCAGUACUAAUGUUGUUCAUACUCCAUCUGUCAAGAAGGCGAGGUGACUUCUCAGCUUCCGGACAGAGAAAGGAAGAGUACCUGGGAAAAUCACCAAGACAGUUAAAGGAACAUGGUGACAAUAAGAAGAGGGGGUCAUAUACGCCUGCUGAUAGAAAUGACCUCCGUGAUGUUGAUAAUGGUUGCAAUGAGUAAGUUAUGCUCCUUGAGUACUGCUUAAUGUGAGUGGUAUAUCGUAGUUAUGAUAUUGCAGUUUGUAGGUUGCAACUCGCAGCAGGUUGAUGUUUUGGUUGGUAGAUCUCAUCUAUCUUGUUUCUUUUUGAGAAACAUCCUGAUCACUUGUAUUGGAUACAAACAGAUUAUGUGUUUGGGCAUACACCAACUUGGUAUUUUAUCAGCCUACAGAUUUUUAUGGUCUACCGGACCUAUAUUAUGUACGUAUUGAGAAUUUGCAACUUAAUUUGUAUAACCUAUACCCUGCAUUAUCUGCCAAAAUGUUAGAAAAAUGGUUUUCUAUUUUGCCUUUUCCGAGCACCUUACAUCAAAAGACCUCUGAUUGGUAAUGCUACAAUGUACAUAUCAUACUAUAGAUGUUGGUUCUUGAGUGUUCCGCAUAGUGACAAUGGUAUAAUGCACCGGAACCGUUUGUUAAGAGUUGAGUAAUUAGUCUAGGGCUUAUGUCUACACAUUAGCGUGUACAAUGUUCCUUUGGCGAAAAUGAGGUCGCUGUUUCACUACAGCUGUGAUGACAAUCUCGUGUAUUUGCAGGAAGCUGGCAACAGAUGACGGUAGCCGUAGCCCCUGCCCUGGCCGGAGGUCGCCGCGACCAUCUUAGUUCAGAGGACAAGACUCGUGCCUGCCCCAACGACUGAUGGGAUCAUGGAAGUGUAGGGAUGCAGUCCCUUGUGUGUGUAAGGCUGACUGGUGCUCAUGUGGCAGUAGUAUUUUAAGAAGUAAGAUGAGAAGCAAACCAUUUGCUGCCACCUGCUUGUGUCAUGUGGUGGUGGUAGCAAGCCCGAACUGCACAUUAGAUGUACUCAACUACAUUCUAAUGUUGGAUCUGUUGCUGUCGGGGCAGCAAAUGUUUGAGAGAAGCCUGGGCAUGCAUCAAUGGACGUCAAGAGUGUAGGCAAAUCACAAAUGCAUGAUGCUGUUUAGUUUCUACUCCCUCCGUUCCAUAUUACUCGUCGCUGAUUUAGUAUGGAACGGAGGGAGUAGCUUGCUCCGCUUCUGGCCUGUGGGCCUGGGUAUUUUGUGGGUCGACUGUCGUUUCUCUCUUUCUUUUCCAUGCAAUCCAAAAGAAGGAUCGAGUUCCACUGUCAAAGGUACUUUUUUUUCCUAAGAAACUUACAAUAUAUUCAUCUUCAAUCAUGGCAGUACAAGGAACAUCAAACACCAGAAAAAAAAACAGCCCGGUGCAUGUAGCUUCUACUUGCGCAGUGUCCAGGGAAAGGUCCGACCGCUUUUGGGUUGUAGGAACAGAGGUAAUAAAAAUUAUAACCAGAUCCGUCGAUCGCCUAGCAACGACUACAAGCACUAGUGUGAGCCAAAGGCGUGCCAUCGUUAUCGCUUUUCCCUCGUCGGAGCCGGACAAACUUUGUAGUAGACAGUCGGGAAGUUGUCGUGCUAAGACCUUAUAUGACCCGCACUAGAGCAGCAACCAUCGUCGAUGAAGAAAGUCGUAGAUCGGAAGGACCAAACUUGUAAACACCCAAAUGAAGACGAACGAAGACUGGAUCCAAACAGAUCCUCUAAAGACCAGCUCUGACUGAAUCUCACGAGAUCCGACGGAGACACACCUCCACACACCCUUUGAUGAAGCUAGACACACUAUCUGAAUGGGGAUAGAAUGUGGGAUACAGUAUUCCAACUGAGGGACAUCGUCGCCACCACGCAACCCCAACCAAGACGCUAAACUUAACAAGAACGAGAACGGGCCCCUCCUACCGGUGGGGGGCCGAGGUUCUCCGCACCUCCAUGGUCCAAGGCCAUCGAAGAUGAGGCGGACUGGCGGUGGCGUCGACAGGAGGAGGAAAGCAUGGAAUCUUUUCUUGUGGAGGAGGAAAGAGAAGGCUACCCACUGUCAAAGGUACCAUAACAUAACAAAAACAUAAAACAACAUCCUGGUGCAAAUGAAAGAGAUUGCAGCAACAUCCUAGGGCAGGUGGUUAGGGCUAGGUCGGCUGUCAACUGCACGAGGAAGAAGAUGAACAUGGCUGAGUGGGUUUGAGGAGGAUGAGUGAGCCGUUGAAUGUCAAUUUGAUGAUCAGAAAAGAAAGUGAUUGUUGAAACAUUUUUUUAGUUAUGUGACGAAUAGGUGCUCCCCAGAAAGAAGUAUUGCUCAUCGAUAACCAAAAGGUAAACGAUUCGUUUUGGUUGACCAGAAGAACUUCAGACGGUCGCCUCGCUAGCGCACUCAUGCCCAUGGCCCACAUCGCACACAACCUAGCGGUGUCCUGGAUUAGGGGGUACUCAUCUCGUCGGCCUACCACUCAUCAUGGGCCGGGUCGAGGACCCACCUAUAACCGAAGAAUAGGUCAUGCUUGAUGUUUGCCAUGACCUUCGUCGUACUCAAGAUGGAAUUUUUCGAGACUUGGCGCACACUUCAAGGCAUAUUCAAAUAUUUGGCAUGUUUAUCUCUAGAUGCAACCGACCGUGUGUAACCUUAGGUACCCCCGGCCCCUAUAUAAGCCGAGGGGUUUAGUCCAUAGAGGCAAGACUUUUUCAGACUCAUUCAUACGAUCUCGAGGUAGAUCAAUUGUACUUUGUACUCCAUCCGCAUCAAUACAAUCAAAGCAGAACGUAGAGUUUUACCUCCUCGAGAGGGCCUGAACCUGGGUAAACACCGUGUCCCUAUUCUUCCUGUUACCAUCUAGCAGAGACCACCAGCUCGGGACCCCUUACCCGAGAUCUGCCGGAUUUAGCUCCGACACAACCUUAUCCUUUUUCUUCUUCCACCGAACGAAUCUCCUCCUUUCUCGGUCUUCUAUAUACACUAGACCAUAUAGGCACGCGUUGCCGCGCCCAUCCAUCUUAAGAAGAGUAACAAUACAAUUGUUUGAGAAAUGUUGAGCUGUCAUAACAGAUCGUAAAGUUCGUAUGGUUCAAAAUAUCAUUUACCAAAACGUCCAAAAGGGGGAUAUAAUAUAUCAUGCACAAUGUAAUACUCCCUAAAGAGAAUCUCAUUUCUACAAAUAGGCUAUUUAUGUACAAUGCAACACAUGCAAUAAUAUGAGGGAUGGGCAAGAGAGGCUCAAAUUACCAACAAUCUAGCGAGUUAACAUAUGAUAUCUCCUCCUUCCCAAUAAGGAAAAUGAUGCACGCAAGCCUCACUGGAGCUUGCCUACAUCAUCGUAUGCCCACAUAACACUAUUCUUUGAGUAAAUUGCAGAAAACCACCAGUUUGAGGGCUAGGUUAGCAGAAAUCACUACGUUACAGUUUCUUGGCAAAAAACACCAACUCUCCCGUAAACAAUUUGCAAAUACCACUGAUCGGCGGAUUGGGCACCGAUAAGUGAAUUUAUGACAGGUGGGGCCCGCUUUUUUGCCGACGUGGCGUUGUCGGCUGGUCGGACAGCCGUUAGACGCCGUUAGACGGCGCUCUCGCACGUGAACUUAAGUGAUUCGCUCCUCUGUCUCUCACUCUCACUCUCACUUUGCUCUCGCACGCUCUCGCUCUCGCUCUGUUCUUGCUCGCCGCCGCCGGCCGCUCCGCUCCGCGUCGCGCCGCCGCCGCAUCGUCAUGGUGUCCUGGAGUGAAAGCAACGACAGCAGCGAGCACACUAGGCAGUACAUCAGCUCUGAUUCUGACGACGGCAGAAUGCAGGUAUGCAUUUGGGGAUAUUUUCCUAGGGUUAGGGUUAGGGUUUGUUCUACGAUUUGGGGAUAUUUUUCUCAAAGGAGCUUGUGUGUUAGCUGAUGAAAUGUUAUGCAUUUCUUUGCACUCCCAGGUCCCUGCUUCAACUGAGGACUCCGAUUUUGAGGGCCCUGAAGUUGAAAUGCAGGUUUUGUGCCAUGGUCACGGGAAGUUAGCAGAGAGGCGCGUUGCUUUUGAAGGAAUUCUAACUGGGAGGAGGUUUCUCUGUUGCGCUGAGAAGGUAUAUGCUUCUAAGUGACAGCACAAUCAUUGUUAGGAUUUGGCCAUUGUUUAUUUAUUGUUAAGUUGGGAGACUGUUGAGGCAGUCAUUGUUUACUCUUAGGAGAGUGUUGAGCCAGUCAUUGUUUACUCUGAGGAGAGUGUUUAGGCAGUCAUUUUUUACUCUGGCAACAAUGUUAAUUAGAUUAAAGUACAGUGGAUGCAUGGGUUAGUUUAUUCCUAAUAGCAGCACAUCAUUGUAUAAUUGAGAGCAGAACAUCAGUGCUUUCUUUUUGAUGUACUUUAUCUUGGGAGUUUUUAAAUAUAAUAUCUUUAGCUUUGGUUGUGAUGAAAGGUUUUAAUAUGGUUUUGAAUACUACCUUAUUUCAGGAAGGUAGAGACUGUGGACUAGUUAAAUGGAUUGAUCCUGCUUGGCCCAAUACCCUUGAGAAUGCAUUGCACAAGUUAUGGUUGAUGUAUGAAGACAACAAGAGACAGAGGGCUGAGGACACUCUGAUGAAUUCUUUUGAAGUUCAUAACCUGACACAAGAGAAGAAAAAGCUACAGGCCAGCUAUGAGAAGCUAGUUGAAGAUGUCAAUGCACUUGUGGAUGCCCAGCAACGUAGGGUAGAGAUAGAAAAGACAGAUGCUGAUACCAAGAAGUUGGAGGAGAAGUAUGAGAUGGUGAAGAACCUGGUAGCUGCUCAGGCCAGUGUCAUUAGGAACAUGAAGCUCAAGCUAGCUGAAGAGAGGAAGAACUUGCAGAUCCAGAUUGAUGAGCUGCAGAAGAGUGUUGAAGAGAGCAAUGUGAAGCUGCAUGAGAGCAAUGUGAAGCUGCAGGAGAGCAAUUUGAAGCUGCAGGGGAUCAAGGCCAUCCUAAAUGAAUGAUCACCUGGCUGUGGAAGAGGGCACUCUCAUUUGGCAUUUGCUUACCUUUUGUAGGGUGUGGUUGGCUGUGCUGUAAUGAGAUUAUGGUUUUAAUUUCCUGAACUAUGGAUCUGUAAAGUACUAAUCUAGUACUAUGAUUAUGUAUGGAUUUGAAUUAAUGCUAAAUGUGAUGGUAUUUAGAGUAUUUGGAUGAAAUCUGAUCUGUUUAGAAUUUAUGUAUUUGAGCCAUCAAAUAGGUUUGUAGCCAUCUUUGGGGGUUUUGUCAACAUCUAGCCUUCACUAGGGUUUUUAGGCAUCUUUGAUGAUUUUGUCGACAUCUAGCCAUCACCUAGGGUUUUUAGGCAUGUUCGAUGGUUUUGUCGACAUCUAGCCUUCACUAGGGUUUUUAGGCAUCUUCGAUGGUUUUUUCGACAUCUAGCCAUCACCUAGGGUAUUUUGGCAUCUUCGAUGGUUUUGUCGACAUCUAGCCUUCACUAGGGUUUUUAGGCAUCUUCGAUGGUUUUGUCGACAUCUAGCCAUCACCUAGGGUAUUUUGGCAUCUUUGAUGGCUUUGUCGACAUCUAGCCAUCACCUAGGGUAUUUUGGCAUCUUUGAUGGCUUUCUCGACAUCUAGCCAUCACCUAGGGUUUUUUGGCAUCUUUGAUGGCUUUGUUGACAUCUAGCCUCAUCAUCACAAAAUGUAUGAUAAACUCAUCAUCACAAAAUACCAGAAAAGAUAUCUGAAGCAUUAUAGUAUCACAACUUAACUUAAACAUCUCAACUACAUGACCAUCAUCACAACCGAACUGACCAAAUUGACAGUAUUUUGACACAACCAAACAUCUCAACAGUAGUUUGACACAACCAAAUUGACAGUAUUUUGACACACAACCAAACUGACCAUCAUCACAAGAUUUUUCACACACCUAAAAUGCAUCAUUCCCAUGGAGCACCUGAAGCAGUCAAGUAAUCUCUAAUUUUCUGGGUGGGCUUCCUGAUUCUUUGGGAAACAACAGUUGUUCUUGGAGGCAAGAAAGAUGCCCUUGCUCCCUUUGCAGCAGCUGAAGAUCUAGUUACUGCUGUUUUACCCUUUGCACCAGAUGAUGAACUACCAGCAGCUGUCCUUUGUGGUGGUGCAGCAGAAGUGGCCCUCUUCUUUGGUGGUCCAGGUGCUGUUGCAGAAGCAGAAGAUGCCCUCUUCUUUGGUGGUCCAGGUGUUGUUGCAGAAGCAGAAGAGGCCCUCUUCUUUGCUGGUCCAGGUGCUAUAGCAGAAGAAGAAGAUGCCCUCUGUGCUGGUGAUGGUGCAGUAGCAGCAGCACCAGCAGCAGAAGAGGCCCUCCUUGCUGGUGUGGCUGCAUCAGGUUCAUAGGAGCUGCUCCUUGGCUACAAAAAGAUCAAAUAGUGUAAGAACAGGAAGAUGAAUUCAAAGCAACAUCAAAUAGUCAAUAUUAGGACAUUGGUUACCUCAUGCAUGUUCUUUCUCAUUGCCAGUGAGGGAUUCAAAGCAACAUUACAGUUGGUGUAUCUAUGGCCAACCUUUUUGCAAUUAGAACAGGUAAUUGAGGCCAUUCUUGAGGUGUCUUUGGGAGCUGGCUUCUCAUAUUGGCCCUUUCUCCUUUUAGUCUGUGCCCUUCCCUUGUGUUCUUUGAAAACUGGAGCCUCAAUGUCCAUACUGUCUGUCCUUGGCCACAUAUCAGGUCCAGGUACAGGAUAUAUAAUGGGACUGUAAGCUGCCAUGUACAUCUUUUUUUUGAAGAAAUCAUGAACAAAGUCCUCUGGCUGAAGCUUAGCCUUGUGUAUGGCAGAAACAACAUGAUUGCAAGGAACUGUUGUCAUAUCCCACUUCUUGCACCCACAAGUCCUAUGUUGUAGGUUCACAUCAUAAGUUCUCUCCCCACUAGUGACUUGGUAAAGAUUAGGCCCAGCCAUCAAAGCAUGACAGUUCCUUGCAAACUUCUUUGCUUCCUCUAAUUUCUCAGCAUAUGUUGGACAAAUUUUCCAUCUUACAGUCUCAGUCUUUGUUCUAUUUGCAUUGAACUUGACCAUUAACUUUGUCCUAAUUCCAUCCACCAUGGUCCUAAUUGGUUUAGCCCUGACAUCUAGAACCCACUUGUUGAAAACCUCACUUAGAUUGUUAACAUCUAAGUCCGUUUUGCAGUUCAUAUCCAUUGCAUGUCUGGCCAAGUGUGUUUAGGUAUUUUGCUUAGCCAUUCCCAAGCAGCCUCACUCUCAUUCUUUAAUUCAGCCAUUGCAGUUUUAAAACCAUGUUCAGUGUAUGAAUAACUAGCUGCAUCCAUGUAUUGCUUUAAUUCAGGCCCUCUAAACCCAGCAUUUUGAAAGUGUUGAUAGAUAUGUCUAAGACAAAACCUUUGGGGACAAUUGGGAAACACUCUGGUAAUGGCUUUUAAAAGGCCCUGUGUGUGUGAUAGUACAAUAAGUAAAUACAAGAAAGUAAAUACAAGAAAGUAAAUAAAGAAAGUAAUUACAACUGAUUACCUUCUGCCUAUGUGAAAUUAUUGUGUAGUUCCCAAACUUCCCAGAUUCUCCACCUAAUGCUUGUCUCAACUGGUAUAAAAACCAGGUCCAGGAGUUAGUGUCCUCCUUAUCAACAAUUCCAAAAGCAAUGGGAAAAAUAUUAUUAUUCCCAUCUCUUCCAGUUGCAGCUAGAAUUUGUUGACCAGUAGUGAGCUUGAUGAAACAACCAUCUAGACCUACAACAAAUAAAUGAAAUCACAAUUGAUUAGCACAUGAAAUCAAACAUUAGUAGCACUUAGCACAAAUACUAUUGACUUACCUAUGAAUGGUCUGCAGCCAUUGAGAAACCCUUCUUUGCAUCCAUUCAAGCAUAUGGACAGUGCAUGAAACCUAGGGUUAGUGCUUGGAUACUCCUUCAGAUAUCUUGUUGUCACAAUGCAUCUUGAACCUGGAUUUGUAUUCAACACAGCCUGUAAAUAAUCCCUAAUCCUGGUGUACUGGGCUUUCUGGUCUCCUAACACAACAGCCUUUGCUGCCCUCUUUGCCCUGUAUGCCAUGUGUGUUGAUAUGUCCACACCAUACUUGCUCUUUGUAGUAUUAAUAAUACUUGUGAUUGUUGUGCAUGGGUCAUUUCUGAUAGCCUUCUCAUAGAAUUUUGAAACCCACUUAGCAGUGACUUUAGUGUUCUCUGACAUAGAAGGGCAUGUGUGCACUAAAUACACCUUCCUAAUUGUAAAUGACUUCUCAUUUGCAAUCUGAGAAGCUGCUAUAUAGAAGGGACAUUGCUCAUCUAUGCACUGUGCUAUCACCCUAUCACUACAGUUUCUAUGGUAGACAAAGUUCCUGUUUUGAGCAAUGUGCAGGGUUUGAAGUGCAGUUCUAAACUGGUACACAUUUAAGAAGCAAAGAUGCUUCACAAAUUUCUCCUCUGGAUGAGCUCUGUGCUCAUCAAACCAUAACCUCUUCUUCAUCUUCUUUGCUCUGCUUUUUCUACCAUUGGGCAACACAUAUGCCAAUGCCUCAGCACCACCAUCAUCUUCCACACCAAGGUCUUGUGGUUUCUUGUCCUCAUCAGAUGAUGGAAUCCAGUCCUCAAACAUGUGUUCUAUACUCCCAUGUGAAUUGCUUGUUGGACCUUUUCUUUGUCUCUUGGCCCUUCUCUUGUUUGGUACAUCUUGCCCUAGCUCAUCCUCUUGUUCGUCUUCCUCCAUUUCCUCCUCCUCUUCCUCCUCUACAUCCUCUUCUUCACCUUGUGGCACAUACAGCUCAUCAUCCACCUCUGAGUCACACAUUUCCUCAACAUCUGUGUCCCCUUCAAAAUGAAGUUCUGGGUCAUUCCUCUGUCUUGUCAUCUCCUCAAGCCUAGCUAAGAUAUCACCAUAUUCUACCAGAUCAUCAUCAUCACUAUCCUCUUCAUUGUCCAUCACUGCUGCUUUCCUAUUCAAACAAGUCUCCUUCGCUCUUUCCUUCUUGUUCUUCCUAAACAUUUCAAUUUCAUUUCUCCUUUUCUCCUCCAUUUCUUGCUCUAUUAACAGUUGCUCCUCUGAAUUGUCAUUCACAUGGUAUUCUUCCACUACUGCGUCACCUAAAGCAGGUUCGAGGCUCACAUUUAUUCUGCCCUGCUGUGUGUCAAACUGCAAGGGCAUUGGCUCUUGUUCUCCUCCUGCAUCACAACUCUCAGCUUCUACAUGCACAUUUUCAGCAUUGAACAACACUCCUUCAUCAUCAAUCUGAUCAGUUUGGGCUCUCCAAUUUGUUCUAUUGGGGUCUGCAUCUCAAUGACAUUAACACUGGUAUUUAUAUUGGGAACUUUCUCUGCACUGGCCCUAACUAUUGUCACAUUCAAUAUCUUGUUAUUCUCCUCUGCUAUGUGGUCUAAAAUUUCCUCUAACUUAUCAUCAUCAUCUAUUUCUUCCAUUCCUUCAAUCCCUAGCCCAGGGUCCCUCACAUAAUACAUAUAAUCUCUAAAACCAUACCCUUCUGUCUUCAUAAGUGCUACCAAAUUGUAAUAUGUGAUGUCUGACAUCAUCAUACUCCUUUCAAUAUUAUCUCUGUCAUGAAAAUGCAUCCUCAAUUCCCAAACCUCAUCUUCAAGACUGCAAAUAAUAAUACAAUAGUGCACUAUAAGUACUUCAAGAAAACUGAAGCAAGCUAGUACAGACCAGAGCAGAACAUCAUUUGAGUGCAACAAUUCAUAUCCUUCUAUUUACAGAAACCCUAGUUGUAAGCAUCUAAUUAAAGAACUAUAUCAUUCUAAUUACAGAACUAUAACACACAUAAACCCUAGAACUACAACACACACAAACCCUAGAACUACAUUAACCCUAACCCUAGCAACAGAAGGGGAAUGUGAUUGGGGAGGGGAAUGGGACUGGGAUCUCACUAGACGCCGCCGAAAGCUGAAGCAAUGUGCUGGCUUCCAACUGGAUUUGCCUUCACCGCCGCGGCGAAUGAUCUGGCCGCCCUAAAUUCCACCGAGUACUGCGGGUCCUCCUCCUCCUCUUCUUCUGCCGUCGCCUUCGUAGGGUUCGAGCUCCCGCACAUCUCGCCAGUGGAUGGCUGGGCGCCGCCGCCAGCAUCGCUCGACUUCGCCGGACUCAUGUCUGCGACGGGAGGCGGGGACGGUGCGCCGCACGACCGGGAACAGGGGAGAAUAAGGGGGGAACGGGGGAAGAAGACGGGGGAUAAGAGGAAACAGAACGAACGGCGCCGUCUAACAGCGUCUAACGGCUGUCCGACCAGCUGACAGCGCCACGUCGGCAAAAACCGGGCCCCACCUGUCAUAAAUCCACUUAUCGGUGCCCGAUCCGCCGAUCAGUGGUAUUUGCAAAUUGUUUACGAGAGAGUUGGUGUUUUUUGCCAAGAAACUGUAACGUAGUGAUUUCUGCUAACCUAGCCCUUAAACUGAUGGUUUUCUGCAAUUUACUCCUAUUCCUUUUCACUGUGCAAAAAUGAACAAUAGUGAAAUGCAAAUAUCAGCACAUGGUGAAUACUAAGAUGAACUAACCGGUUGAUGUCUUAAUAAGGAUAAAAAACGUGUAUGCUCUACGUCGCUACAAUGCUACCUCUAAUCAUCCCCGUGGCAGCUACAAAAGGUCCCGAUCAAAUUGUAAGCAAGAAAAGAUAAGAUAAACAUCAUAGAAGUAGAAAGAAACUGAAGUACAAAAAUUCAAUACACAGGUUGCCGAGCCUAUCAGUGAAUAUACUCACCAUAUCUUCCUGUCUUGGCAGGGGAAUGGAAACAAACACUUGAAACAGAGGAAAUAGAAAUUAUUCAUUGUGAGAAAAACAGGGAGGAGUCACAUAGCUGCAAAUAAAGUAGCAUAAUUGUGCUCCUCCCCAACAAUUUUGUCAGUUUGUAUAUGUCAAACUAUUGGUCGAAUAAAGAAUGGGUCUGUCUAGGACACAUCUAGCUGUGACAUAGUUAUGUCACAUCUAAGUUGAUGACCAUUUUAUUUGUGGUCUGUUUUUUUAUCCUAGUUUUUUUAUUUUUUGUUGCUGCAUUAUAUAUUUGUGGAAGCUUAGAUGUGACAUCCUUAAAAAACAUCUAAAUGUGAAUUAGACAAACUGAUAAAGAAUAGCUGAAAAUCUGGAAUGAAUAAUUACCAUUGACAAUUAUACUAAUCAUUAUAUAUGAUAUUUUACGACUAUGGCUUGGAAGUUAGAUCAAAUACCACAGAAAAUAUAAAUACAACAGCAGAUCUUGGUUUUUGCAGGUUGCUAAAAAUAUGAGAUACAGAGCUGUAUCUCUUUUUCCAAUCAAAACUUUUGAAAUAAAAAUUCCCAUCAACAAAUAGUGAAUGGGUCACUUCUGGAGACAAAUAUAUCUUCCUGCCACUGAGAUACCAUGAUACAAAUGUAUAUAUAAUUCGAUCAUAACUGUCUACAUCGACUUGUGUUCUGGUCACUCAUUUUUAAUCGUGUAUAUGUUGUAGCUCCAAAUCAUGAAUAAGACAUGACGUCUAAGCAGCAGACCAGAGUGUUGGAUGGUCACUUAUCCACGCUUUGUGAUUACUCUAGGUACCCCACACCUUAAUUAAUCAAGCACAGCUGACAGCCUAAAACAAAAAGAUAUGGAAGAUCAUCUCAUUAUUUCUUGCAAAGAAAAAUAAAUAAACGAUGAAGCAGAUGCAGUACAUAUACUCAUGUCAGAUGUAGGACAGUUGCAAUAUAAUAACUGCUCACUUGGAUCUCAACGGAGAAGAGCAGCACUGUCACCCCCAUGGCCCCAUCCCCUCGUCGCCCGUAUCAUCUUGCCAUCACAGCAACACUGCCACGCACAGGAAGGUGAGAAAACAUCCCACCGCUGCCCAUAUAUGUCGCCGUAUUUGGAGAGAGGUCGUCGACGGCGCCGGCUGCCGCCGCAGCCGCCACGGACAAACGAUACAAGACACGAAAUGAAAAAACAGUAAAAAAAGGGGCUGCUGAGGAAGAGUACAGGGCGGGUGGACGGAAUCGGUGAGGAGGCAGUCGCGAAGAAGAAGCUCGCCGAUGAUGGAACAACGGCGCAUCGAGGAGGAAAGAACGGCGGUCGGCGACGCAUCGAGGAGCCAGAAACGGCGGCACGCGACGAACAGAUGGGGAGGAUAGCGAUGGAACCUGGACAACCUGGGCUGUUAGCGUUAGCAUUCAGAAAAUGAAAAGGCGUGGGCCUUCGAAGACCCGAUUACGGAGAGGAAAACUAACUCGCUCUGUGGAGCAGCAGCCCGCGAGACUUGCGUGCAGUGCGUGAGCAACCUGGGACGCCGAGAGCUGAUCUUGAUCGUACGUUUGAGUGAUCCGAUGGCUGAGAGCGUCAAAGCGACAUGGAGGCUCCUAGCUAGCUGUGUUAUACUGUUUAGUAAUACAAACUUGGGAGCCCAGGCAGCAAGCUCCAUGAUGAGGAACGCUAAGUGAGAAGAAAGAAAACACAUGCCAGAUAUGUUUGGCUACUUCUAAAUGCUUCCACUCUAGUGUAGUAUUUCUUUUGUUUUCUUUAUCCUACCCGCUGUUUCUAGAGUUCUCUAGUUAUAAGUAGUUGUGAGUAGAGAGAUGAAUCCUAAGUAAUGUUUUCUAGAGUGUUCCAGCUAUAAGUAGAAGUAUGUGAAGGCUUCCCAAAGCCCUAUAAAUAGAGGUCCUCACCUCUACUUUGUAAAACCAGACUAUGUAUCCACUACCUAUAAUAGAACUUGUUGUUCUUAUCUAAGAUCUUGGAGUAGAUCUUGUGUCCUAGGAGUUUUGGAUUGAACCCUUGCUGCCCUAUCGGCCUACAUUCGCCUCUAGAGCGAUAUCUAGCACAAUACGUUGAAGUUGUUCCUUCAACACUUGUGUUGUGCACAUUGUAGCAGCAAGGUGGAGUUGCUCCUCCACAACCUUUGUGCUGCUUCAGGUGGCAUCAAAGCCAGGUUGAACCAUACUAGUUCUUGCUAUCCUCUUCGAGAGCAAGCUGUAGCAAAGCAAUGGAGCAAUUGGAGAAGAGGAUGGAUGCUGCAGAGCAACAAAUCAAAGAGCUGCGUGAAGAUCUUAAUCGGAGAUUUGAUUAGCUGGUUGAGAUGAUAAGAAAGGGUGUACCCCUGCUACCAAUGAAGGACAUUAAUCUAAAGAAGAAGAUGUUCAUCAAAGAAGAAGGAGAGGUAAUCUUGGAGCAAGGCCGCCACAACAAUGUGCUGUUCAACAUGCUUCAAGAAGGCCAAUUUAUGUUGAAACUUCUGAAAGUAAAGAAUAUGAUGAAGUCCUUGAAGAAGUUGAUCUCUAUGCAUAUCGAAGAGUACCCAACCCUACAUAUGCAAGGGAUACAUAUAAGGUGAAAGCUGAGAUCCCAACUUUUAAUAGAAAUGUUGAUAUUGAAGGGUGCCUAGAUUGGUUAUAUGAAGUCGAGACUUUCUUUGAGGUCAUGGAGGUUCCGGAAGAUCGUAGAGUCCCUUUGGUCGCAUACAAGCUUAAAGGAGGAGCCGAUGCAAUUGGGGAACGCAGUAUUUCAAAAAAUUUACCUACGAUCACGCAAUCUAUCUAUGUGAUGCAUAACAACGAGCGGGAGAGUGUGUCCACGUACCCUCGCAGACCGAAAGCGGAAGCGUUAGCAACGCGGUUGAUGUAGUCAAACGUCUUCGCGAUCCAACCGAUCAAGUACCAAACACACGGCACCUCCGCGAUCUGCACACGUUCAUCUCGGUGACGUCCUUCGAACUCUUGAUCCAGCUGAGCGCCGAGGGAGAGUUUCGUCAGCACGACGACGUGAUGACGGUGAUGAUGAAUUUACCGACGCAGGGCUUCGCCUAAGUACUACAACGAUAUGACCGAGGUGGAAAUCUGUUGAGGGGGGCACCGCACACGGCUAAACAAUCAACCUGUGUGUCUAUGGGGUUCCCCCCUCCCCCGUAUAUAAAGGAGCAAGGGGGAGGCCGGCCGGCCCUCAUAGGGCACGCCCAAGGGGGGCAAUCUGAAGGAAAUAUGCCCUAGAGGCAAUAAUAAAGUUGUUAUUUAUAUUUCUUUAUAUCAUGAUAAAUGUUUCUUAUUCAUGCUAGAAUUUUAUUAACCGGAAACUUAGUACAUGUGUGAAUACAUAGACCAACAGAGUGUCACUAGUAUGCCUCUACUAGACUAGCUCGUUGAAUCAAAGAUGGUUAAAGUUUCCUAGCCAUAGACAUGAGUUGUCAUUUGAUUAAUGGGAUCACAUCAUUAGAAUGAUGUGAUUGACUUGACCCAUUCCGUUAGCUUAGCACUUGAUCGUUUACUUUAUUGCUAUUGCUUUCUUCAUGACUUAUACAUGUUCCUAUGACUAUGAGAUUAUGCAACUCCCGAAUACCGGAGGAACACUUAGUGUUCUAUCAAACGUCACAACGUAACUGGGUGAUUAUAAAGAUGCUCUACAGGUGUCUCCGAUGGUGUUUGUUGGGUUGGCAUAGAUUGAGAUUAGGAUUUGUCACUUCGUGUUUCGGAGAGGUAUCUCUGGGCCCUCUCGGUAAUGCACAUCACUAUAAGCCUUGCAAGCAAUGUGACUAAUGAGUUAGUUACGGGAUGAUGCAUUACGUAACGAGUAGAGAGACUUUCCGGUAACGAGAUUGAACUAGGUAUAGAGAUACCGACGAUCGAAUCUCGGGCAAGUAACAUACCGAUGACAAAGGGAACAACGUAUGUUGUUAUGCGGUUUGACCGAUAAAGAUCUUCGUAGAAUAUGUGGGAGCCAAUAUGAACAUCUAGGUUCCCCUAUUGGUUAUUGACCGGAGACGUGUCUCAGUCAUGUCUACAUAGUUCUCAAACCCGUAGGGUCCGCACGCUUAACGUUCGGUGACGAUCGGUAUUAUGAGUUUACGUGUUUUGAUGUAUCGAAGGUAGUUCGGAGUCCCGGAUAUGAUCACGGACAUGACGAGGAGUCUCAAAAUGGCCGAGAUAUGAAGAUUGAUAUAUUGGACGGCUAUAUUCGGACACAGGAAGUGUUCCUGGUGAUUUCGGAGAAAACCGGAGAGCCGCAGGGUUACCGGACCCCCCCCCCCGGGGAACUAGUGGGCCUAGAUGGGCCUUAGUGGAGAGAGAGAGGGGCUGCCAGGGCAGGCCACGCGCCCCCUCCCCCUUGAGUCUGAAUUGGACUAGGAGGGGGGUGGCGCCCCCCCUUUCCUUUCCCUCUCCCACUCCUUCCUUCCCCCUCCUAGUAGAACUAGGAAAGGAGGAAUCCUACUCCUACUAGGAGGAGGAUUCCUCCCCUCCUUGGCGCGCCCUAGGGCCGGCCGGCCUCCCCCCUUGCUCCUUUAUAUACGGGGGCAUGGGGCACCCUAGAACACACAACAGACAUUGUCUUAGCCGUGUGCGGUGCCCCCCUCCACCAUAAUCCACCUCGGUCAUAUCGCUGCAAUGCUUAGGCGAAGCCCUGCACCGGUAACUUCAUGAUCACCGUCAUCGCGCGUCGUGCUGACGAAGCUCUCCCUCGACACUCAGCUGGAUCGAGAGUUCGUGGGACGUCACCGAGCCGAAUGUGUGCAGAUCGUGGAGGUGCCGUACUUUCGGUACUAGGGUCGGUCGGAUCGUGAAGGCGUACGACUACAUCAACCGCGUUGUCAUAACGCUUCUGCUUUCGGUCCACGAGGGUACGUGGACAACACUCUUCCCUCUCAUUGCUAUGCAUCACCUAGAUGGAUCUUGCGUGUGUGUAGGAAUUUUUUUGAAAUUACCACGUUCCCCAACAGUGGCAUCCGAGCCAGGUCUAUGCGUAGAUGUUAUAUGCACGAGUAGAACACAAAGAGUUGUGGGUGAUAAUAGUCAUACUGCUUACCAGCAUGUCAUACUUUGAUUCGGCGGUAUUGUUGGAUGAAGCGGCCCGGACCGACAUUACGUGUACGCUUACGCGAGACCGGUUCUACCGACGUGCUUUUGCACACAGGUGGUUGGCGGAUGUCAGUUUCUCCAACUUUAGUUGAAUCGAGUGUGACUACGCACGGUCCUUGUUGAAGGUUAAAACAACACACUUGAAGAAAAAUCGUUGUGGUUUUGAUGCGUAGGUAAGAACGGUUCUUGCUCAACCCGUAGCAGCCACGUAAAACUUGCAACAACAAAGUAGAGGACGUCUAACUUGUUUUUGCAGGGUAUGUUGUGAUGUGAUAUGGUCAAGACAUGAUGCUAAAUUUUAUUGUAUGAGAUGAUCAUGUUUUGUAACACAGUUAUCGGCAACUGGCAGGAGCCAUAUGGUUGUCGCUUUAUUGUAUGAAAUGCAAUCGCCAUGUAAUUGUUUUACUUUAUCACUAAGCGGUAGCGAUAGUCGUAGAAGCAAUAGUUGGCGAGACGACAACGAUGCUACGAUGGAGAUCAAGGUGUCGCGCCGGUGAUGAUGGUGAUCAUGACGGUGCUUUGGAGAUGGAGAUCAAAGGCACAAGAUGAUGAUGGCCAUAUCAUAUCACUUAUAUUGAUUGCAUGUGAUGUUUAUCCUUUAUGCAUCUUAUUUUGCAUAGUUCGGCGGUAGCAUUAUAAGAUGAUCUCUCACUAAAUUUCAAGGUACAAGUGUUCUCCCUGAGUAUGCACCGUUGCGAAAGUUCGUCGUGCCGAGACACCACGUGAUGAUCGGGUGUGAUAUGCUCUACGUUCACAUACAACGGGUGCAAGCCAGUUUUGCACAUGCAGAAUACUCGGGUUAAACUUGACGAGCCUAGCAUAUGCAGAUAUGGCCUCGGAACACUGAGACCGAAAGGUCGAGCGUGAAUCAUAUAGUAGAUAUGAUCAGCAUAGUGAUGUUCAACAUUGAAAACUACUCCAUCUCACGUGAUGAUCGGACAUGGUUUAGUUGAUUUGGAUCACGUGAUCACUUAGAUGAUUAGAGGGAUAUCUAUAUAAGUGGGAGUUCUUAAGUAAUUUGAUUAAUUGAACUUUAAUUUAUCAUGAACUUAGUACCUGAUAGUAUUUUGCAUGUCUAUGUUGUUGUACAUCAAUGGCCCAUGCUACUGUUCCUUUGAAUUUUAAUGUGUUCCUAGAGAAAGCUAAGUUGAAAGAUGAUGGUAGCAACUACAUGGACUGGGUCCGUAACUUGAGGAUUAUCCUCAUUGUUGCACAGAAGAAUUAUGUCCUGGAAGCACCGCUAGGUGCAAGACCCGCUGCAGGAGCAAUGCCGGACGUUGUGAACGCCUGGCAGAGCAAAGCUGAUGACUACUCGAUAGUUCAGUGUGCCAUGCUUUACGGCUUAGAACCAGGACUUCAACGGCGUUUUGAACGUCAUGGAGCAUAUGAGAUGUUCCAGGAGAUGAAGUUAAUAUUUCAAGCAAAUGCCCGGAUUGACAGAUAUGAAGUCUCCAAUAAGUUCUAUAGCUGCAAAAUGGAGGAGAAUAGUUCUGUCAGUGAACAUAUACUCAAAAUGUCUGGGUAUCAUAAUCACUUGACUCAGCUGGGAGUUAAUCUUCCGGUUGAUAGUGUCAUUGACAGAGUUCUUCAAUCACUGCCACCAAGCUACAAAAGCUUCGUGAUGAACUAUAACAUGCAAGGGAUGGAUAAGACGAUUCCCGAGCUCUUCGCAAUGCUAAAGGUUGCGGAGGUAGAAAUCAAGAAGGAGCAUCAAGUGUUGAUGGUCAACAAGACCACCAGUUUCAAGAAAAAAGGGUAAAGGGAAGAAGGGAAACUUCAAGAAGAACGGCAAGCAAGUUGCUGCUCAAGUGAAGAAGCCCAAGUCUGGACCUAGGCCUGAGACUGAGUGCUUCUACUCCAAAGGGACUGGUCACUGGAAGCAGAACUGCCCCAAGUAUUUGGCGGAUAAGAAGGAUGGCAAGGUGAACAAAGGUAUAUGUGAUGUACAUGUUAUUGAUGUGUACCUUACUAAUACUCGCAGUAGUACCUGGGUAUUUGAUACUGGUUCUGUUGCUAAUAUUUGCAACUCGAAACAGGACUACAGAUUAAGCGAAGGUUGGCUAAGGACGAGGUGAUGAUGCGUGUGGGAAAUGGUUCCAAAGUCGAUGUGAUCGCCGUCGGCACGCUACCUCUACAUCUACCUUCGGGAUUAGUUUUAUACCUGAAUAAUUGUUAUUUGGUGCCAGCGUUAAGCAUGAACAUUAUAUCUGGAUCUUGUUUGAUGCAAGACGGUUAUUCAUUUAAAUCCGAGAAUAAUGGUUGUUCUAUUUAUAUGAGUAAUAUCUUUUAUGGUCAUGCACCCUUGAAAAGUGGUCUAUUUUUGUUGAAUCUUAAUAGUAGUGAUACGCAUAUUCAUAAUAUUGAAGCCAAAAGAUGCAGAGUUGAUAAUGAUAGUGCAACUUAUUUGUGGCACUGCCGUUUGGGUCAUAUUGGUGUAAAGCGCAUGAAGAAACUCCAUUCUGAUGGACUUUUGGAAUCACUUGGUACUUGUGAACCAUGCCUCAUGGGCAAGAUGACUAAAACUCUGUUCUCCGGAACAACGGACGAGCAACAGAUUUGUUGGAAAUCAUACAUACCGAUGUAUGUGGUCCGAUGAAUAUUGAGGCUCGCGGCGGGUAUCGUUAUUUUCUGACCUUCACAGAUGAUUUGAGCAGAUAUGGGUAUGUCUACUUAAUGAAACAUAAGUCUGAAACAUUUGAAAAGUUCAAAGAAUUUCAGAGUGAAGUGGAAAAUCAUCGUAACAAGAAAAUAAAGUUUCUACGAUCUGAUCAUGGAGGAGAAUAUUUGAGUUACGAGUUUGGUCUUCAUUUGAAACAAUGCGGAAUAGUUUUGCAACUCACGCCACCUGGAACACCACAGCGUAAUGGUGUAUCUGAACGCCGUAACCGCACUUUAUUAGAUAUGGUGCGAUCUAUGAUGUCUCUUACUGAUUUACCGCUAUCGUUUUGGGGUUAUGCUUUAGAGAUGGAUGCAUCCACGUUAAUAGGGCACCAUCUAAAUCCGUUGAGACGACACCUUAUGAACUGUGGUUUGGCAAGAAACCCAAGUUGUCGUUUCUUAAAGUUUGGGGCUGCGAUGCUUAUGUGAAAAAGCUUCAACCUGAUAAGCUCGAAUCCAAAUCGGAGAAAUGUGUCUUCAUAGGAUACCCAAAGGAGACUAUUGGGUACACCUUCUAUCACAGAUCCGAAGGCAAGACAUUCGUUGCUAAGAAUGGAUCCUUUCUAGAGAAGGAGUUUCUCUCGAAAGAAGUGAGUGGGAGGAAAGUAGAACUUGAUUAGGUAACUGUACCUGCUCCCUUAUUGGAAAGUAGUUCAUCACAGAAAUCAGUUCAUGUGACUACUACACCAAUUAGUGAGGAAGCUAAUGAUGAUGAUCAUGUAACUUCAGAUCAAGUUACUACUGAACCUCGUAGGUCAACCAGAGUAAGAUCUGCACCAGAGUGGUACGGUAAUCCGGUUCUGGAGGUCAUGUUACUUGACCAUGACGAACCUACGAACUAUGAGGAAGCGAUGAUGAGCCCAGAUUCCGCGAAAUGGCUUGUGGCCAUGAAAUCUGAGAUGGGAUCCAUGUAUGAGAACAAAGUGUGGACUUUGGUUGACUUGCCCGAUGAUCGGCAAGCCAUAGAGAAUAAAUGGAUCUUCAAGAAGAAGACUGACGCCGACGGUAAUAUUACUGUCUACAAAGCUCGACUUGUUGCGAAAGGUUUUCGACAAGUUCAAGGAGUUGACUACGAUGAGACCUUCUCACCCGUAGCGAUGCUUAAGUCCGUCUGAAUCAUGUUAGCAAUUGAUGCAUUUAUGAUUAUGAAAUUUGGCAAAUGGAUGUAAAGACUGCAUUCCUGAAUGGAUUUAUGGAAGAAGAGUUGUAUAUGAUGCAACCCGAAGGUUUUAUCAAUCCAAAGGAUGCUAACAAAGUGUGUAAGCUCCAGCGAUCCAUUUAUGGACUGGUGCAAGCAUCUCGGAGUUGGAAUAAACGUUUUGAUAGUGUGAUCAAAGCAUAUGGUUUUAUACAGACUUUUGGAGAAGCCUGUAUUUACAAGAAAGUGAGUGGGAGCUCUGUAGCAUUUCUAAUAUUAUAUGUGGAUGACAUAUUGUUGAUUGGAAAUGAUAUAGAAUUUCUGGAUAGCAUAAAAGGAUACUUGAACAAGAGUUUUUCAAUGAAAGACCUCGGUGAAGCUGCUUAUAUAUUGGGCAUCAAGAUCUAUAGAGAUAGAUCAAGACGCUUAAUUGGACUUUCACAAAGCACAUACCUUGAGAAAGUUUUGAAGAAGUUCAAAAUGGAUCAAGCAAAGAAAGGGUUCUUGCCUGUGUUACAAGGUGUGAAGUUGAGUCAGACUCAAUGCCCGACCACUGCAGAAGAUAGAGAGAAAAUGAAAGUCAUUCCCUAUGCUUCAGCCAUAGGUUCUAUCAUGUAUGCAAUGUUGUGUACCAGACCUGAUGUGUGCCUUGCUAUUAGUUUAGAAGGGAGGUACCAAAGUAAUCCAGGAGUGGAUCACUGGACAGCGGUCAAGAACAUCCUGAAAUACCUGAAAAGGACUAAGGAUAUGUUUCUCGUUUAUGGAGGUGACAAAGAGCUCGUCGUAAAUGGUUACGUCGAUGAAGCUUUGACAUUGAUCCGGAUGACUCUAAGUCACAAACCAGAUACGUAUUUAUAUUGAACGGUGGAGCUGUCAGUUGGUGCAGUUCUAAGCAAAGCGUCGUGGCGGGAUCUACGUGUGAAGCGGAGUACAUAGCUGCUUCGGAAGCAGCAAAUGAAGGAGUCUAGAUGAAGGAGUUCAUAUCCGAUCUAGGUGUCAUACCUAGUGCAUCGGUGUCACGGCCGGAUUUUCGGGAUAUAAAUUCCCAGAAAAACGGCCUGUGUGCUCACCAGCCCCAGGAUUACUGUUAGCUGAUGAGGCACCAACUUGAUACAAGAAUUCCAAGCGAGGACAAAAAUAUGCGGUACAAGACCAUUGUGGCCUAGGAGUACAACAUUUGGUUGCUAAUGGUUGAGGACGGAAGCGGUUGGAAACAUCUGCGUCUAUGGGACUCCAUUUCCCACAAGAACAGCUGACCAGGAUAACUCCUAUCUCCGCGAGGCUGCAAACGUCAACACGUAGGUUCCAAGGUUGACACCGUGAUGCUUAUCUCCAAGCGAGGAAUCUGGCCAAGACAAUAGCCAGGGACAAGCCAGUGAGUACGUUUGAAUGUACUCGCAAACAUUAAGAACACGGGUAUAAAAUAUCAAACAUGCUCCAGAUUAUUAAGUGAUUGCACGUCCGUCACGAAAUGUACGAAAAACCAAGAUGCACACAUGUGGUUAUAAAUAAUCCAAAGUAAAGUACUGGGUGCCAAACGAGGGUCUGAAAGACUCCUCGAGCGGAAACUGCAAGAAUAGUAAUACUGGUGCCAAACGAGGGUCUGAAAGACUCCUCGAGCGGAAACUGCAAGAAUAGUAAUACUGGUGCCAAACGAGGGUCUGAAUGACUCCUCGAGAGGAAACUGCAAGAAUAAUAAUGCCGCAGUCGGGCGUCGGGGCGACACCACAUAAAGGGCUUAUAAGAGUUAAAUGAACAACAAGCAUGCCGCAGUCGGGCGUCUGAGCGACACCACAAAAAGGGCUUAUAAGAGAAUAAUCACAGUGAAUAUCCAGGAGGUAGAACUAUCCCAGGGAUACUCAAUAAUAUACGUAAAAUAAAAGGGUUAGUCCAAGAUAAUAAAGAUCAUAAUCCAUAAGUGCCACAAUCAUAAACAAUAAUUAGUUCAGUCGUUUCCCCAAUCGAAAAACCGAUAAAAUGGUCUAGUCGAAACGUAUCUCCAUCCGAAUACCGUUACUGAGCUCUAGCUAAUUCGUUCUCCAUCCGAAAACCGUCACUGAGUUCUAGUUAAACCGUUCUCCAUCCGAAUACCGUUACUAGUUUCAACUCAGACUGUGGUCUUUACUCAAGAACAUAACUAUCCAACAGGAUAUAUCCUCUGCAGAGGGAGUACCAUUUUCCACGAGUAACGGGUUUACUUAGUCCAUCGGGACUAAUUCCGUCUACGGUCUUUUAAUUGGAAACACGCCUGACCUGCACACACCAGCUUAACUCACCAGUGUCUGGAAUCACCCACGACACCUGCCAAGCAAAACUCUAAGUGGGGAGGCUACAACCUCGACGUAGCAUGGGAUCACAAAAUUUAUAACGCGCGCACACUAGGGGAGCUACCCCCCUCGGCUCCAACCGGAAACACCCAUGCCCCCAGACCAGGUGGCAUGCCUACCGGUGGCCUCCGGUAUCUUCCACCAUGGCCUCUCUGUACGGUGUGUGCUUUGGUAAGGGGUUGACAACUUACUGAACCAUACCCUGUCCCCUGCAGGGACAAGUGGUGGUACCAACAAAUAAGGAAGCUAUUGAUCAAGACUCGAUCUACAACCGACUCAGGUGGUCCAAGAAUCCUCCAACAGUAUUACCACUAGUGAAAUAAAUCACCACUCCUCGAGCCUCACUAUGCCAUACCGGGCAUACUCGUCUCGACGAGGGACUAGGGACAAGCUCGUGUCUACCCAAGACCACGACCUUCCCGGCUUCCUACCGGUAUGCAUGAGAAGUUCAUGAGGAUGAUCCAAAUCACCAAUGUAUCCAUUGCUGACCACAACACAACUCCAAAGUGCACUCAUGCACGAGACUAUAUCGCUACAUAAAGCCAACGCAUAUACCAAGUCAAAAGGUGUUGUGACCGCACCAGAACACCACAACAAAAUAUUAUGCCAGAGUUCAGAAAUGCUUGCCUUCAAGAGUAUGCAAAGGAUGCACUUAUUGGAAGCUUUCCUUUUUCUCCAAAAAUCCUAUUUUGCAAAAUACACAAAUAACAAAUAUUUCAAACACAGUACCAAAAGUUGUCUCAAAUAUUUUUGAAAUAAAUCCUAAAAUAAACUAGAUGAAAUUUGAGAGAGGUAGGAAAAAGAACCAACUCUUUUGGAGUUUUAUUUUAAAAGUUAUAGCCAGUCAAAGUUUGGUCAAAACUCUGUUUUUUAAAUAAAACCAGAAAAGAAAACGAUUCAGAAGGAAUACGCUUUCGCAGUCGAGGAGACGCACUCGGGAGUUUGCGCCUUCGCUUAAACAGAGAGAGGACGGCCGCGCGGGUCACUGACAGUGGGUCCAGAGGGCCCACUGGUUAGGUUUGACCGUUCUUCCCUCCUUCUCCUCUCUUCCGCCUGACGGGAGCGAGGCUCCGGCGAUCGCCGUCGACGAACGGCAGCACCUUACGGGCAUCCAAGGGCGGGGAUGGAACGGCUAGACCGAGGCGGUCCUUUGGGUGGUUGCUGGGUCGUCGGAGUUGGAAGGAGACGCCGGCGGCGAGCUCCGCGGCGGAGAGAGGCUACGGUGGCGAAGUGCUUUCUGUGCUCCGGUGGUCUCCGAUCGAGCUUGGGUAGCUGGGCAACUCCGCAAGAACUAUGGGAGGCUACUAGUGGCGUUGGUUGGGCGAAAGGGUGGCUGGUUGCGACGAAUCGCACCGGAGCUUAGCGGCGGCCGGACUGGCCGGAGUUGGAGAGGAUGGUCCUCUCCGGUCAAUCUACUGCUAGGGGAGCUCUACGGGGAGUGUCUGAUGUCACCUGAGUGCUCGGAGAGGCUCGGGGUCCCUUUAAAUAGGCGCUUGAGGUUGGCUCCCGCGGUGGCCGAGGAUAAGAUCGUCGGCGACCACUUUCCUGUAGUGGCAGGGCAUCGUGGCGGCGACGAAAGCGUUCCGACGAGCAUGAGGAUAAGCACGAGCUAUUCCCAGGGGCAGCUGGCGCGCUGGCGUGGUUUGGGCGGUGCCGAACAUGGCAGAGGCCACUGCCGACGCCGGCAUGCCGCCAAGGGCGAGGCCAGCGGCGCAGCAGGGCGCCAGAGAUGCCGUGGAGCAGGGAGCGGGCUAGUGCGCGGUUCAGCGAUGCAGUAGGGGCCAGGGACGGGUCGCGUCGAGUGCGGCGUGUCGGCUCAGUGCGCGCGCGUGCAAAACGUGCGCUCUGGGCGCGCCCAGAGCACGCACGGCAGGUGUUCAACGCAAUGCCAGUGUGGUCUAGAGCGCGAGGGUGGAGCUGGCAAAGAACAGAACGAGGGUAGGGGUGGCUAGGAGUUCAGUGGACAAGGUUGUUGGGUCAGAGGAACAAUAUCACAGUGCAAACAAAGAACUCAUGCCAAAACAGACUAUGCACACCAGGUGUUCGACAGAAUGCCAGAUGCACUUAGGCAACUCUUGGAGUGGCCAAAAUCUCCAGAUCAGUGUCUCUUUAGAUGCAGGAGAUGGUGGCAAGAUUAGUUUGGCAAAAACAGAAAGGUGAUAGUGCAAGAAUUUGAGAAAGCCAGUUUUGGACAGAAAGAAAGAGGGUCUAAAGCAUGCACUUAAAAACCUCUGAUGAGCCCACUCUCCUGGACUUAAGAGUUUGGUGGGGAGGGCUACAAGUAGGAAAAAGCUCAGGGUUACUAGAGCAAGGAAAAAUAAGGUUGCAGUACAAAUCACCCAGUUGGACCAGAAAGCAAAAGAGGUUGAUCCACUCAAAUUUUUCAAAGAACAUCACUGGGUUUUUGGCUUGAAGAUGAAUUUUAUGCAUCCACUGACAUCUCCAAAUACUUGGAAGGAUUUUUAAAGAAAUAUUUAAAUGGGUUGUAGUGCAAAAGUGCCUACUGGACCAGAUUGGAAAAGUUGGUGUGGAGCUCAAAAUCUCCAAUGGCCAAGAGGUAUUUUUGCAUGAAAGUGAUUUGGAACCAUCACAUGACAUCCCCAAAUUUUGGUGAAAUUUUUAAAAGCAUUUAUCAACUGGUUGUAGUGCAAACAGGCUCCAAAUGCAAAAGAACUCAUUUUAAAGGAAGAAAGCUUUGAGGAAAUAAAUCUUGCAACAUUUGAAUACACUGAUAAAUAAUUGUUUUAUAAAGGAGAGCAUUCAAGUCCAAUAAUACUUUUGAAGGUUUCUCCCACUAGAGGCAAAAAUCCAAAAUCACAAAAGGUAAAACUUGACAAAUGGAAAAGUUUUUCUUUUUUUUCCUGGCAACCUUUUAAUAAAUAAAACAAGGCCAAAAUUUUGGGUGUUACAAUCGGGUCCAAUGAAUAUCUUUUGUGACAAUACUGGUGCAAUUGCCUUGGCAAAGGAAUCCAGAUUUCACAAGAGAACCAAGCACAUCAAGAGACUCUUCAAUUCCAUCUGCGAUCAAGUCAAGGAGGGAGAGAUAGAGAUUUGCAAGAUACAUACGGAUCUGAAUGUUCCAUACCUGUUGACUAAGCCUCUCUCACGAGCAAAACAUGAUCAGCACCAAGACUCUAUGGGUGUUAGAAUCAUUACUGUGUAAUCUAGAUUAUUGACUCUAGUGCAAGUGGGAGACUGAAGGAAAUAUGCCCUAGAGGCAAUAAUAAAGUUGUUAUUUAUAUUUCCUUAUAUCAUGAUAAAUGUUUAUUAUUCAUGCUAGAAUUGUAUUAACCGGAAACUUAGUACAUGUGUGAAUACAUAGACAAACAGAGUGUCACUAGUAUGCCUCUACUAGACUAGCUCGUUGAAUCAAAGAUGGUUAAAGUUUCCUAGCCAUAGACAUGAGUUGUCAUUUGAUUAACGGGAUCACAUCAUUAGAGAAUGAUGUGAUUGACUUGACCCAUUUCGUUAGCUUAGCACUUGAUCGUUUAGUUUAUUGCUAUUGCUUUCUUCAUGACUUAUACAUGUUCCUAUGACUAUGAGAUUAUGCAACUCCCGAAUACCGGAGGAACACUUAGUGUGCUAUCAAACAUCACAACGUAACUGGGUGAUUAUAAAGAUGCUCUACAGGUGUCUCCGAUGGUGUUUGUUGGGUUGGCAUAGAUCGAGAUUAGGAUUUGUCACUCCGUGUUUCGGAGAGGUAUCUUUGGGCCCUCUCGGUAAUGCAAAUCACUAUAAGCCUUGCAAACAAUGUGACUAAUGAGUUAGUUGCGGGAUGAUGCAUUACGAAACGAGUAAAGAGACUUGCCGGUAACGAGAUUGAACUAGGUAUAGAGAUACCGAUGAUCGAAUCUCGGGCAAGUAACAUACCGAUGACAAAGGGAACAAGGUAUGUUGUUAUGCGGUUUGACCGAUAAAGAUCUUCGUAGAAUAUGUGGGAGCCAAUAUGAACAUCCAGGUUUCGCUAUUGGUUAUUGACCGGAGACGUGUCUCGGUCAUGUCUACAUAGUUCUCGAACCCGUAGGGUCCGCACGCUUAACGUUCGGUGAUGAUCGGUAUUAUGAGUUUAUGUGUUUUGAUGUACCGAAGGUAGUUCGGAGUCCCGGAUAUGAUCACGGACAUGACGAGGAGUCUCAAAAUGGUCGAGACAUGAAGAUUGAUAUAUUGGACGGCUAUAUUCGGACACCGGAAGUGUUCCGGGUGAUUUCGGAGAAAACCGGAGUGCCGGAGGGUUACCGGAACCCCCCCGGGGAACUAGUGGGCCUAGAUGGGCCUUAGUGGAGAGAGAGAGAGGGGAUGCGAGGGAAGGCCGCGCGCCCCCUCCCCCGUGAGUACGAAUUGGACUAGGAGGGGGGUGGCGCCCCCACUUUCCUUCCCCUCUCCCACUCCUUCCUUCCCCCUCCUAGUAGGACUAGGAAAGGAGGAAUCCUACUCCUACUAGGAGGAGGAUUACUCCCCUCCUUGGCGCGCCCCAGGGCCGGCCGGCCUCCCCCCUUGCUCCUUUAUAUACGGGGGCGGGGGGCACCCUAGAACACGCAACAUACAUUGCCUUAGCCGUGUGCGGUGCCCCCCUCCACCAUAAUCCACAUCGGUCAUAUCGUUGCAGUGCUUAGGCGAAGCCCUGCGCCGGUAACUUCAUCAUCACCUUCAUCACGCUGUCGUGCUGACGAAGCUCUCCCUCGACACUCAGCUCGAUCGAGAGUUCGUGGGACGUCACCGAGCCGAAUGUGUGCAGAUCGUGGAGGUGCCGUACUUUCGGUACUAGGAUCGGUCGGAUCGUGAAGAUGUACGACUACAUCAACCGCGUUGUCAUAACGCUUCCGCUUUCGGUCUACGAGGGUAUGUGGACAACACUCUUCCCUCUCAUUGCUAUGCAUCACCUAGAUGGAUCUUGCCUGUGCGUAGGAUUUUUUUUGAAAUUACUACGUUCCCCAACACAAUCCUACUCCAAGUAGGAGUUGGAUCCCCCCUUUCCUGGUCCUACUAGGAGAAGAAGGAAGGAGAGGGGAAAGAGAAGGAAGGAGGGGGCGCCGCCCCUCCCCCUAGUCCAAUUCGUACUAGGCCCAUGGAGGGGGGGGGGCGCGGCCAGCCCUUGGCUGCCCCUCUCUCUCCCCUAGGCCCAAUAAGGCCCAUUGCUUCUUAAGUGGUUCCGAUAACCCUUCCAGCACUCCGAUAUUUAUCCGGUGACCCCCGGAACUCAUCCGGUGUUCGAAUAAGAUUGUCCAAUAUAUCAAUCUUUAUUUCUCGACCAUUUCGAGACUCCUCAUCAUGUCCAUGAUCACAUCCGGGACUCCAAACUACCUUCGGUUCAUCAAAACACAUAAACUCAUAAUACCGAUCGUCAUCGAACAUUAAGCGUGCGGACCUUACGGGUUCGAGAACUAUGUAGACAUGACCGAGACACAUCUCCGGUAAAUAACCAAUAGCGGAACCUGGAUGCUCAUAUUGGCUCCUACAUAUUCUAUGAAGAUCUUUAUCGGUCAAAACGCAUAACAAUGUAUGUUGUUCCCUUUGUCAUCGGUAUGUUACUUGCCCGAGAUUCGAUCGUCGGUAUCACCAUACCUAGUUCAAUCUCGUUAUCGGGAAGUCUCUUUACUCGUUUCGUAAUGCAUCAUCCCACAACUAACUCAUUAGUCACAUUGCUUGCAAGGCUUAUAGUGAUGUGCAUUACCGAGAGGGCCCAGAGAUACCUCUCUGACAAUCGGAGUGAGAAAUCCUAAUCUCGAUCUAUGCCAACUCAACAAACACCAUCGGAGACACCUGUAGAGCAUCUUUAUAAUCACCCAGUUACGUUGUGACGUUUGAUAGCACACUAAGUGUUCUUCCGGUAUUCGGGAGUUGCAUAAUCUCAUAGUCAGAGGAACAUGUAUAAGUCAUGAAGAAAGCAAUAGCAAUAAACUAAACGAUUAUAGUGCUAAGCUAAUGGAUGGGUCUUGUCCAUCACAUCAUUCUCCUAAUGAUGUGAUCCCGUUCAUCAAAUGACAACACAUGUCUAUGGUUAGGAAACAUAACCAUCUUUGAUGAACGAGCUAGUCAAGUAGAGGCAUACUAGGGACACUUAUGUUUUGUCUAUGUAUUCACACAUGUACUAAGUUUCCGGUUAAUACAAUUCUAGCAUGAAUGAGAAACAUUUAUCAUGAUAUAAGGAAAUAUAAAUAACAACUUUAUUAUUGCCUCUAGGGCAUAUUACCUUCAGUCUCCCACUUGCACUAGAGUCAAUAAUCUAGUUCACAUCGCCGUGUGAUUUAACACCAAUAGUUCACAUCACCAUGUGAUAGUUCACAUUGCCAUGUGACUAAUACCCAAAAGGUUUACUAGAGUCAAUAAUCUAGUUCACAUCCCCAUGUAAUUAACACCCAAAGAGUACUAAGGUGUGAUCAAGUUUUGCUUGUGAGAGAAGUUUAGUCAACGGGUCUGCCACAUUCAGAUCCGUAUGUAUUUUGCAAAUUUCUAUGUCCACAAUGCUCUGCACGGAGCUACUCUAGCUAAUUGCUCCCACUUUCAAUAUGUAUCCAGAUUGAGACUUAGAGUCAUCUGGAUCAGUGUCAAAGCUUGCAUCGAUGUAACCCUUUACGACGAACCUUUUUUGCCACUUCCAUAACCGAGAAACAUAUGCUUAUUCCACUAAGGAUAAUUUUGACCGUUGUCCAGUGAUCCACUCCUGGAUCACUAUUGUACCCUCUUGUCAAACUCAUGGUGAGGUACACAAUAGGUCUGGUACACAACAUAACAUACUUUAUAGAACCUAUGACUGAGGCAUAGGGAAUGACUUUUCAUUCUCUUUCUAUUUUCUGCCAUGGUCAGGUUUUGAGUCUUUACUCAAUUUCACACCUUGCAACACAGGCAAGAACUCCUUCUUUGACUGUUCCAUUUUGAACUACUUCAAAAUCUUGUCAAGUUAUGUACUCAUUGAAAAAAACUUAUCAAGCGUUUUGAUCUAUCUCUAUAGAUCUUGAUGCUCAAUAUGUAAGCAGCUUCACCGAGGUCUUUCUUUGAAAAACUCCUUUCAAACACUCCUUUAUGCUUUCAAGAAAAAUUCUACAUCAUUUCCGAUCAACAAUAUGUCAUUCACAUAUACUUAUUAGAAAGGCUGUAGUGCUCCCACUCACUUUCUUGUAAAUACAGGCUUCACCGCAAGUCUGUAUAAAACCAUAUGCUUUGAUCACCUUAUCAAAGCGUAUAUUCCAACUCCGAGAUGCUUGCACCAGUCCAUAGAUGGAUCGCUGGAGCUUGCACACUCUGUUAGCACCUUUAGGAUUGACAAAACCUUCUUGUUGCAUCAUAUACAACUCUUCUUUAAGAAAUCCAUUAAGGAAUGUAGUUUCUGACAUCCAUUUGCCAGAUUUCAUGAAAUGUGGAAAUUGCUAACAUGAUUUGGACAGACUUUAAGCAUCGAUACGAGUAAGAAAAUCUCAUCGUAGUCAACAUCUUGAACUUGUGGAAAACCCUUUUCGACAAGUCGAGCUUUGUAGAUAGUAACACUACUAUCAGCAUCCGUCUUCCUCUUGAAGAUCCAUUUUAUUCUCUAUGGCUUGCUGAUCAUCGGGCAAGUCAACCAAAGUCCAUACUUUGUUCUCAUACAUGGAUCCUAUCUCAUAUUUCAUGGCCUCAAGACACUUUGCGGAAUCUAGGCUCAUCAUCGCUUCCUCAUAGUUCGUAGGUUCAUCAUGGUCAAGUAACAUGACCUCCAGAACAGGAUUGUCGUACCACUCUGGUGCGGACCUUACUCUGGUUGACCUACGAGGUUCGGUAGUAACUUGAUCUGAAGUUUCAUGAUAAUCAUCAUUAGUUUCCUCACUAAUUGGUGUAGGCAUCACCGGAACUGAUUUAUGUGAUGAACUACUUUCCAACUCGAGAGAAGGUACAAUUACCUCAUCAACUUCUACUUUCCUCCCACUCACUUCUUUCGAGAGAAACUCCUUCUCUAAAAAGGAUCCAUUCUUAGCAACGAAUAUCUUGCUUUCGGAUCUGUGAUAGAAGGUGUACCCAACAGUCUCUUCUGGGUAUCCUAUGAAGACAUAUUUCUCCGAUUUAGGUUCGAGCUUAUCAGGUUGAAGCUUUUUCACAUAAGCAUCGCAGCCCCAAACUUUAAGAAACGACAACUUGGGUUUCUUACCAAACCACAGUUCAUAAGGUGUCGUCUCAAUGGAUUUAGAUGGUGCCCUAUUUAACGUGAAUGCAGUCGUCUCUAAUGCAUAACCCCAAAAUGAUAGCGGUAAAUCAGUAAGAGACAUCAUAGAUCGCACCAUAUCUAAUAAAGUACGGUUACGACGUUCGGACACACCAUUACGCUGUGGUGUUCCAGGUGGCGUGAGUUGCGAAACUAUUCCACAUUGUUUCAAAUGAAGGCCAAACUCGUAACUCAAAUAUUCGUCUCCACGAUCAUAUCGUAGAAACUUUAUUUUCUUGUUACGAUGAUUCUCCACUUCACUCUGAAUAUUUUUGAACUUUUCAAAAUGUUUCAGACUUGUGUUUCAUUAAGUAGAUAUACCCAUAUCUGCUCAAAUCAUCUGUGAAGGUCAGAAAAUAAUGAUAACCGCCGCGAGCCUCAACACUCAUCGGACUGCAUACAUCGGUAUGUGUUAUUUCCAAUAAGUCUGUAACUCGCUCCAUCGUUCUGAAGAACGGAGUUUUAGUCAUCUUGCCCAUGAGGCAUGGUUCGCAAGCAUCAAAUGAUUCCAAAAAUCUAUCUGCAUGGAGUAUCUUCAUGCGCUUUACACCAAUAUGACCUAAACAGCAGUGCCACAAAUAUGUUGCACUAUCAUUAUCAAUUUUGCAUCUUUUGGCAUCAAUAUUAUGAAUAUGUGCAUCAUUACGAUAGAGAUUCAGUAAACCAUUUACAUUGGAUGUAUGACCAUAGAAGGUUUUAUUCAUGUAAACAACUUAAAUGAAUAACCGUAUCGCAAUAAAAAUGAUCAAAUCAUAUUCAUGCUCAACGCAAACACCAAAUAACAUUUAUUAAGGUCUAACACCAAUCCCGAAGGUAUAGGGAGUGUGCGAUGGUGAUCUUAUCAACCUUGGAAUUACUUCCAACACACAUCGUCACCUCGCCCUUAACUAGUCUCUGUUUAUUUUGCAACUCCCGUUUCGAGUUACUACUCUUAGCAAUUGAACCAGUAUCAAAUACCGAGGGGUUUCUAUAAACACUAGUAAAGUACACAUCAAUAACAUGUAUAUCAAAUAUACCUUUGUUCACUUUGCCAUCCUUCUUAUCCGCCAAGUAUCUAGGGCGGUUCCACUUCCAGUGACCAUUUCCUUUGCAGUAGAAGCACUGAGUUUCAGGAUUGGGUAUAGCUUUGGCGUUUUUCAUAGGAGUGGCAACUUGCUUGCCAUUCUUCUUGAAGUUCCCUUUCUUUCCCUUUUACUUGAAACUAGUGGUCUUGUCAACCAUCAACAUUUGAUGCUUUUCUUGAUUUCUACCUUCAUCGAUUUCAACAUUACGAAGAGCUCGGGAAUCGUUUUCGUCAUCCCUUGCAUAUUAUAGUUCAUCACGAAGUUCUAGUAACUUGGUGAUAGUGACUAGAGAACUCUGUCAAUCACUGUUUUAUCUGGAAGAUUAACUCCCACUUGAUUCAAGCGAUUGUAGUACUCAGACAAUCUCAGCACAUGCUCACUGGUUGAGCUAUUCCCCUCCAUCUUGUAGGCAAAGUACUUGUCAGAGGUUUCAUACCUCUCGACUCGGGCAUGAGUCUGAAAUACCAAUUUCAGCUCUUGGAACAUCUUAUAUGCUCCGUGGCGUUCAAAACGUUUUUGAAGUCCCGGUUCUAAGCCGUAAAGCAUGGUGCAUUAAACUAUCAAGUAGUUAUCAUACCGAGCUUGUUAAACGUUCAUAACGUCUGCAUUUGUUCCUGCAAUAGGUCCGUCACCUAGCGGUGCAUCAAGGACAUAAUUCUUCUGUGCAGCAAUGAAGAUAAUCCUCAUAUCACAGACCUAGUCCGCAUCAUUGCUACUAUCAUCUUUCAACAUAGUUUUUCUCUAGGAACAUAUAAAAAAUAAAAGGAACAGUAGCACGGGCCAUUGAUCUACAACAACAUAGACAUGCAAAAUACUAUCAGGUACUAAGUUCAUGAUAAAUUAAAGUUCAAUUAAUCAAAUUACUUAAGAACUCCCACUUAUAUAGAUAUCCCUCUAAUCAUCUAAGUGAUCACGUGAUCCAAAUCAACUAAACCAUGUCCGAUCAUCACGUGAGAUGGAGUAGUUUUCAAUGUUGAACAUCACAAUGUUGAUCAUAUCUACUAUAUGAUUCAUGCUCGACCUUUCGGUCUCAGUGUUCCGAGGCCAUAUCUGCAUAUGCUAGGCUCGUCAAGUUUAACCCGAGUAUUAUGCGUGUGCAAAACUGGCUUGCACCCGUUGUAUGUGAACGUAGAGCUUAUCACACCCGAUCAUCACGUGGUGUCUCGGCACGACGAACUUUUGCAACGGUGCAUACUCAGGGAGAACACUUGCACCUUGAAAUUUAGUGAGAGAUCAUCUUAUAAUGCUACCGUCGAACUAAGCAAAAUAAGAUGCAUAAAGGAUAAACAUCACAUGCAAUCAAUAUAAGUGAUAUGAUAUGGACAUCAUCAUCUUGUGCCUUUGAUCUCCAUCUCCAAAGCACCGUCAUGAUCACCAUCGUCACCGGCUUGACACCUUGAUCUCCAUCGAAGCAUCGUUGUCGUCUCACCAACUAUUGCUAUCACGACUAUCGCUACCGCUUAGUGAUAAAGUAAAGCAAUUACAUGGCGAUUGCAUUGCAUACAAUAAAGCGACAACCAUAUGGCUCCUGCCAGUUGUCGAUAACUCUGUUACAAAACAUGAUCAUCUCAUACAACAAUUUAUAUCAUCAUGUCUUGACCAUAUCACAUCACAACAUGCCCUGCAAAAACAAGUUAGACGUCCUCUACUUUGUUGUUGCAAGUUUUACGUGGCUGCUACGGGCUGAGCAAGAACCGUUCUUACCUACGCAUCAAAACCACAACGAUUUUUCGUCAAGUGUGCUGUUUUAACCUUCAACAAGGACCGGUCGUAGUCACACUCGAUUCAACUAAAGUAGAGAAACAGACACCCACUAGCCACUUGUGUGCGAAGCACGUCGGUAGAACCAGUCUCGCGUAAGCGUACGCGUGAUGUCGGUCUGAGCCGCUUCAUCCAACAAUACCGCUGAAUCAAAGUAUGACAUGUUGGUAAGCAGUAUGACUAUUAUCGCCCACAACUCUUUGUGUUCUACUCAUGCAUAUAACAUCUACGCAUAGACCUGGCUCGGAUGCCACUGUUGGGGAACGCAGUAUUUCAAAAAUUUUACCUACAAUCACGCAAGAUCUAUCUCUGUGAUGCAUAGCAACGGCGGGAGAGUGUGUCCACGUACCCUCGUAGAUCGAAAGCGGGAGCGUUAAGCAACGCGGUUGAUGUAGUCGAACGUCUUCGCGAUCCAACCGAUGAAGUACCGAACGCACGACACCUCCGCGAUCUGCACACGUUCAGCUCGGUGACGUCCCUCGAACUCUUGAUCCAGCUGAGUGCCGAGGGAGAGGUUCGUCAGCACGACGGUGUGAUGACGACGAUGAUGAAUUUACCGAUGCAGGGCUUCGCCUAAGCACUACAACGAUAUGACCGAGGUGGAAAUAUGUGGAGGGGGGCACCGCACACGGGUAAACAAUCAACUUGUGUGUCUAUGGGGUGCCCCCCUCCCUCGUAUAUAAAUGAGCAAGGGGGAGGCCGGCCGGCCCUCAUAGGGCGCGCCCAAGGGGGACAAUCCUACUCCAAGUAGGAGUUCGAUCCCCCUUUCCUAGUCCUACUAGGAGAAGAAGGAAGGAGAGGGGAAAGAGAAGGACCUACUCAUAAUACCGAUCGUCACCAAACGUUAAGCGUGCGGACCCUACGGGUUCGAGAACUAUGUAGACAUGACCGAGACACAUCUCCGGUCAGUAACCAAUAGCGGAACUUGGAUGCUCAUAUUGGCUCCUACAUAUUCUAUGAAGAUCUUUAUCGGUCAAACCGCAUAACAACAUACGUUGUUCCCUUUGUCAUCGGUAUGUUACUUGCCCGAGAUUCGAUGGUCGGUAUCACCAUACCUAGUUCAAUCUCGUUACCGACAAGUCUCUUUACUCAUUCCGUAAUGCAUCAUCCCACAACUAUCUCAUUGUCACAUUGCUUGCAAGACUUAUAGUGAUGUGCAUUACCGAGAGGGCCCAGAGAUACCUCUCCAACAAUCGGAGUGACAAAUCCUAAUCUCGAUCUAUGCCAACUCAACAAACACCAUCGGAGACACCUGUAGUGCAUCUUUAUAAUCACCCAGUUACGUUGUGACGUUUGAUAGCACACUAAGUGUUCCUCCGGUAUCCGGGAGUUGCAUAAUCUCAUAGUCAGAGGAACAUGUAUAAGUCAUGAAGAAAUCAAUAGCAAUAAACUAAACGAUCAUAGUGCUAAGCUAACAGAUGGGUCUUGUCCAUCACAUCAUUCUCCUAAUGAUUUGAUCCCGUUCAUCAAAUGACAACACAUGUCUAUGGUUAGGAAACACAACCAUCUUUGAUGAACGAGCUAGUCAAGUAGAGGCAUAUUAGGGACACUUAUGUUUUGUCUAUGUAUUCACACAUGUACUAAGUUUCCGGUUAAUACAAUUCCAGCAUGAAUAAUGAACAUUUAUCAUGAUAUAAGGAAAUAUAAAUAACAACUUUAUUAUUGCCUCUAGGGCAUAUUUCCUUCAGAUGCAUGGUGGCAUCGCGUUCAAGAAGAGCGCAGGCUGAGAGGAGAACCUACUGUGAGAACUUGACGGCAAAUGAAAGGUCUCUUGAAAGGGAGAUUUUUGCCCGCUGAUUAUGACCAGAUCCUAUUUAUCCAAUUUCAAAAUUGUGCUCAAGGAAAUAGGACUGUUUCAGAUUACACGAAGGAGUUUCUAAGGUUACAAGUGAGGUGCAACCUUGCUAAAACUGAAGAUCAACAAGUUGCAAGGUACAUCAAUGGUCUCAAUGAUGCUAUUCAAGAUCGAUUGAUGUUGCAAAAAAUUUGGUCCGUUGAUCAAGCACAAGCUCUAGCCUUAAAGGCCGAGAGGUUUGUGAGGACAAGAAAGGCAACUAAAGCUCCAUAUCCUCAUACUGAAGGCUCGUCUAGGAGUCAGCCUUAGAGUGGAAGAAAAGACGGCUCCACCAAAGGCAAAACGACCCAUCCAGAAGCAAACUAGAGGCAAGGGCAAGUCCAAUGAAGGCCCAAAAUGCUAUAAAUGUGGUGAAAAGGGACACAUAUCCAGCGGCUGCCCACUAAGAAAAUUUGUUAACACAACUAUCCAUGAUGGUGAAAGCAAUGACGAAGAAUACGAACUAAAGAUGUAGAGGGACAAGAGGUUUGUAAAGAAGAAGGUGAAGAGGUGGUAUGUGUGAUUCAGCGUCUCCUAUGUUCCACACCACAACCUGAUGACACACAACGGAAGACAAUAUUUGAGAGCAAGUGCACAGUGAAUGGAAGGUAUGCAAGUUAGUGAUUGAUAGUUGCAGCUGCAAGAAUCUUAUCUCCCAGAAGUUGGUGAGCCAUUUAAAGCUUGAUACACAUGAUCAUCCAAACCACUACACUAUUGGGUGGGUCAAGAAAGGAGUGAAUAUGAGGAUCACCAAACAAUGCAACCUGCCACUUUCCUUGGGCAAGCAUUAUCGCUCAAAUGUGUUGUGUGAUGUAGUUGAUAUGGACGCUAGCCAUGUUCUUCAUGGGAGACCUUGGCAAUUUGAUGUGGAUACUACACACAAGGGCAAGGAAAACUCUUACUCUUUCAUUUGGAACAAGAGAAAGAUCAUUAUCUUACCAAACAAAACCGAUGGUAAUACCUCUAAGGAGGAGGGGGAAACUAUGUUAACUAUCUCCCAUACCUUUCAUGAGUUUAUGGAAGACUUGAAGAAGACAGAUUUGUGUGUUGCACUUGUUGUAAAAGGAGAAGAGCACCUGACUGUUGAAAUUCCAGCAAAGGUACGUGGUUUAUUGGCAGAAUUUCAGAACAUACUUGGAGAGCCACAAGGCUUGCCACCGAUGAGAGGAAUUCAACAUAGAAUUGACUUAAUUCUGGGAGCAAGUCUUCCUAAUCUUCCACACUAUCAAAUGAGCCCAAAGGAGUAUGAUAUAUUGAAGGAGAAAGUGGAGGAAUUGUUGCAAAAGGGGCACAUUCGAGAAAGUAUUAGCCCAUGUGUUGUACCAGCCCUACUCGCGCCAAAGAAAGUUGGAUGUUGGCGCAAGUGUAAGGACAGUAGAGCCAUUAACAAGAUCACCGUAAGGUAUAGAUUCCCGAUUCCCCGUCUGGAUGAUAUGUUGGAUCGGCUUAGUGAAGCAAGAGUGUUCACAAAGCUAGAUUUAAGAAGCGGAUAUCAUGAAAUUCGUAUCAGACCCGGGGAUGAAUGGAAAACCGCCUUCAAGACAAAGGAAGGGUUGUUUGAAUGGCUAGUCAUGCCAUUUGGACUCUCAAAUGCACCAUGUACCUUUAUGUGCUUAAUGAAUCAAGUCCUUCGACCCUUCUUGUCCCACUUUGUUGUGGUCUAUUUUGAUGACAUCUUGAUCUAUAGCAAGGAUGAGGAUGAACACUUUGAUCACAUUCGGAAGGUGCUAUAAGUACUAAGGGAAAAUGAGCUCUACGUCAACUUGAAGAAAUGUGUUUUCCUGCAAACACAACUUCUUUUCCUGGAUUCGUCAUAACAUGUGACGGUAUUCGUGUUGAUGAUUCUAAGGUCGAAGCAAUCCGAGAAUGGCCAACUCCGAACACCAUUUCUGCGAUAAGAAGUUUUCAUGGCCUUGCAACUUUCUAUAGGCGAUUUGUGAAGAAUUUCAGCACUAUCAUGGCACCAAUUACCGAGUGUUUGAAGAAAGAAAAGUUCCAAUGGACAGAAGCAACUAAAGUUAGUUUCAAUGAGAUUACACAAAAACUAUCACAAGCUCCUGUCUUGGUGCUACCUGAUUUCAACAUGACUUUUGAGUUGGAGUGUGACGCUACUAGAGUAGGCAUUGGAGAUGUCCUAUCUCAAGAAAGGAAGCCCAUUGCUUUCUUUAGUGAGAAGUUAAGUGAAGCUAGACAGAAAUGGAGUACCUAUCAGCAAGAAUUAUAUGCCGUUUUUAGAGUUUGAAAACUUGGGAAGUCUAUUUGCUGCCUAAAGAAUUCAUUGUUUAUAGCGACCAUCAAUCCUUGAAGCAUUUUAGAAAUCAAAAGCAUGUUGACCGCAUGCUAGCAAGAUGGGCAACAUAUCUGGAGAGGUUUAACUAUCUCAUCAUGCAUAAAUCUGGAAUAACUAACAGAGUGGCCGAUGCUUUGAGUCGUCGUGCAUGCCUCUUGACUUCUUUUGAAACUGAACUUCCGGGCAUGGAUCAAAUAAAGGAGUUGUAUGAGGGUGACGAAGACUUUGGCCAUGUUUGGGUAAAGCACGCAAGGGGCCAACCAUUAGGUGAUGACUAUUUGAUGCAAGAUGGAUAUCUCUUAAAAAAUGAUCGUUUGUGCAUUCCAAGAAGUUCUCUACGUGACAAACUGGUUAGAGAGCUCCAUUCAAGUGAUCUUAGUGGCCAUGUUGGACGGGACAAGACUAUCGCUAGCCUAGAAGCUUGCUACUUUUGGCCACAACUAAAGAGAGAUCCUGAAAAGUUUGUUCAGCGAUGCCCUAUAUGUCAAACCUGGAAAGGCCAAGUCCAGAACACAGGGUUAUACAUGCCUUUGCUUGUUCCUGUCGCUCCAUGGGAGGACAUCUCUAUGGACUUCGUCUUGGGCUUGCCAAGAACAAGACGAGGGAGUGAUGCUGUGUUUGUGGUCGUGGAGAUUCUCUAAGAUGGCUCAUUUCAUCCCAUGCCGCAAGACAACGGAUGCUCAUCAUGUGGCAAGCCUAUUCUUUCGAGAAGUGGUCAGACUUCAUGGAGUUCCAAGGUCCAUCGUCUCAGACCGUGAUAGCAAGUUUCUUGCUGCAUUUUGGCUCACUUUGUGGGAGCAAUUCAACACUGAAUUGAAAUUUUCUAGCACUGCUCAUCCACAAACAGAUGGACAAACGGAGGUGGUGAAAAGUUUUUGGGUAAUCUAAUCCGUUGCAUUUGUGGAGAAAGAAAGGGGCAAUGGGAUUUGGCUUUAUCUCUUGCAGAUUUCUCCUACAAUAACUCCAAGCAUAGAUCCACAUGAAGGAGCCCUUUUUCCAUUGACUACACUAAAGUUCCAACACAUGUGGUGGACCUGGUGAAGCUACCAUCAAGGGGAAACUCAAAAUCAGCAUUGUCCUUUGCUGAUAAUUAGACCGAGUUAUUUGAAGAGAUUCGCGGUGCUUUGGAAGAACAAAAUCAGAAAUAUAAACAAUUUGUUGAUUGCAAAAGGAGGCCAAAAUCAUUCCAAGUCGGUGAUAAGGUGAUGGUCUACCUCCGAAAAGAGAGGCUGCCUUUAGGUGUUAAAGGGAAACUUAGGCAGCGAAGGUAUGGGCCCUUCUCUAUUGUGAGGAAGAUAAAUGAUAAUGCUUAUGUGAUAGAUCUUCUAAGUGACAUGGGUAUCUCCAACACUUUCAAUGUUGCGGACUUGACUCUACCAUCCAGAAGAAGCGCUCUAUGAAGAUAACUCGAGGAAGAGUUCCAAACAACCAGGGGAGAAUGAUGAGGAACACUAGAUGAGAAGAAAGAAAACACAUGCCAGAUCUGUUUGGCUACUUCUAGAUGCUCCCACUCUAGUGUAGUAUUUCUUUUGUUUUCUUUACCCUACCCGUUGUUUCUAGAGUUCUCUAGUUAUAAGUAGUUGUGAGUAGAGAGAUGAAUCCUAAAUAAUGUUUUCUAGAGUGUUCCAGCUAUAAGUAGAAGUAUGUGAAGGCUUCCCAAAGCCCUAUAAGUAGAUGUCCUCACCUCUACUUUGUAAACCCAGACUGUGUACCCACUACCUAUAAUAGAACUUGUUGUUCUUAUCUAAGAUCUUGGAGUAGAUUUUGCCCCCUAGGAGUUCUGGAUUGAACUCUUGCUGCCCUAUCGGCCUACAUUCGCCUCUAGAGCGAUAUCUAGCACAACAUGUUGAAGCUGUUCCUUCAACACUUGUGGUGUACACAUUGUAGUAGCACGGUGGAGUUGCUCCUCUACAACCUUUGAGCCGCUUCACUCCAUGAAUCUACAUACACUCACCCUUCCUUUGUCCCACUCCUAUGUCGUUCGCGUGCCCCUCGCACAACGCCGAUGCAAUGUCGAAGAGCUCCUGCUUGUGUUCGCCCGACAGGCUCUCCUACAAGGCUUUGGAGCUUGAGGCCAUGGGGGUGCGGCGCAGAGAGGAUAUCGGGGAGUGGAAGUGGGAUAUGCAUGUUCGGCUCUGACCAUGUUUAAAUAGUGGGCAGAUGUCAGGCCAAGCAGCAAGGUGUUUAAUGCCGGCCGACAGACAGAUAGAUAAGUGGCGUCGCAUGCGGGCACCGGAGUAGGGUCCUUGCAACCACACAUGUUCAAUGGAGGGAGGUGUAUGGACGGAUGAUGUUUGAAUGCGGAGAGAAGACACGUGCACCGGGAUGCGACACGGACGACGCGCCGCUUCAAUGUCGGCUCCAGCGAAAGGUCACAUCUACUCUGGGCCGGCAUGAAUAUGACACUGGCGCUAGAGCGGCGCUAGCCGGUUUGGACGAGAAAGGGAGAAAGUGCGGAAGAGGUUUUUGGGUUGGUCUGGGGUGUCGAACGUGUUCGUGGCAGUAGUCCGAACGUCCGCAAAGGCCCCCUUAUUUGCUUCUGGUUUGCGAGGAAAGGGACAUCUGAACUGUUUCUCGGACAAAUGCAGGACUGUGUUGGUGAAACACGUCCGAAGAGGUUGGUCCGGACGGAUGCGGUGGGUUGAGGUCAUGUCCUUGGCUCCCUUUCGUGCAGGAUAGUGUGCGGUAGUACUAUGACCAGACUUUCGAAUCUCAGUUGUUAGCAUCAAGCAAGUAGUUGGGGGUGUGCAAGCAAGGAAGGACGGGCUCGCCGGAAACCCCAGUUGUCCGUGGCAAGCAAAGCUGGGAGGGGAAUGUUGGUGGCCGAUUCGAGCUGUUGUUGGUCCCAGAAGGCGUGCGCCACUGACACAAGCAACGCAGACCAGGCGCACGCGUGGAUAGGGUAGGGACGGGACGACGCGGUUUGUGCGUGAGCGUCUCUCCCUGCCGACCACACGAUCUCCAUCUCCGUCUCCGUGUACGUGCGCUGAAUCUGCGGCUGGCGCCGGGCCGACCACGGUGGUGAGAUUGAGAAGCGUCACAAUCCAACCCGGUCAACACGCACGUCCUCCCCACCGUUGCCGACGCGGCAGCCAACGGUAACUGCCCCAUCCGCCGUCCAAAUCGGCGAUUAUCCAAGCAAUACUUUACACUAAUCGAAUUUUUCCAGUCGGCGCGUGCCAUUUUCCCAUGUCCACCUCGCUUUCUUCGAGAGGAAGGAGCUGUCAUCUUUUUCUCCUGAAACCACUCGCCGUCGUUUCCUUUUUCUCUUCCUUCUCCAGCACAUCGAUACGCGCACCAGCCGAAUAAUAUUCAAAGAAAAGCUUCGAGCAGAGGCAAAUCCCCACGGAAAUACGCGGCCACUUGCGUUUUUGCAUCUUCUCCUUUCAUAUUCACUUUCUUCCAUUCUUUAGAAAAGGCUUGGGAUUAUUUAUUAUUCAUUUCAAACGCAUGCUUUGGUUACUAAAGUAUAGUAUACCCUCUUUCUUGCUGUUUACUAAUUUCCACAUUUUUGAGCAACGGUGCAAAAGCAAAGGAAAAGGUAGUGUACCAACCCGAAAAAAAUAUUACUACCAUGAAAGAUUUCUAAAAUUAAUGAAAGAUAGUGAACUCGUGGGAAAAUAUAUAUGAAAAUGAAUGACCUAAAUAUAUGAAAAAGACAGUGACACAUGGCAGCCGCAGCAAAGCGAGAAAUAAAAAUGCAUUUAAAGCAAGGGAAUAAGAAUACUGUAAUGGCCAGGUAAUGGCACCCACCACGCGACCUUUGUCCGUUCCUCUCCUCUCCGGUACUCUGCUCUGGAGGUACCAGUACUAGUAUUUGAACGGAACGGAAGCCCCAGUUGCCAACUCAGAUUCAAACCCGCAAUCCACUCCACACUCCAUCCCGCGAUGCCGCUCCUCCUCCUCCUCAUGCUGCUCGCCGCCGGCGCGGCGGGGGCAGAGUCGGCGACCCCCUCGCUCCACAUCGGCGUCAACUACGGCGCCAACGCCGACAACCUCCCCUCCCCGACCUCCGUCGCCGCCUUCCUCGCCACCAAGACCACCAUCGACCGCGUCAAGCUCUUCGACGCCAACCCGACCUUCAUCUCCGCCUUCGCCGGCACGCCCGUCUCCCUCGCCGUCUCCCUCCCCAACUCCGCCCUCCCCGCCCUCGCCGACAAGGCCACCGGCCUCGACGCCGCGCGGUCCUGGAUCCGCGCCAACCUCUCCCCCUACGUCCCCGCCACCAACGUCACCCUCCUCCUCGCCGGCAACGAGAUCCUCCUCUCCACCGACACCACCCUCAUCCUCUCCCUCCUCCCCGCCAUGCGCCGCCUCGCGCAGGCCCUCAAGGCCGAGGGCCUCACCGGCGUCCGCGUCACCACCCCGCACUACCUCGGCAUCCUCGCCCCUUCCGACGGCAUCCCCUCCAACGCCUCCUUCCGGGCGGGUUACAACACCAAGCUAUUCCCGGCCAUGCUGCAGUUCCACCNNNNNNNNNNNNNNNNNNNNNNNNNNNNNNNNNNNNNNNNNNNNNNNNNNNNNNNNNNNNNNNNNNNNNNNNNNNNNNNNNNNNNNNNNNNNNNNNNNNNNNNNNNNNNNNNNNNNNNNNNNNNNNNNNNNNNNNNNNNNNNNNNNNNNNNNNNNNNNNNNNNNNNNNNNNNNNNNNNNNNNNNNNNNNNNNNNNNNNNNNNNNNNNNNNNNNNNNNNNNNNNNNNNNNNNNNNNNNNNNNNNNNNNNNNNNNNNNNNNNNNNNNNNNNNNNNNNNNNNNNNNNNNNNNNNNNNNNNNNNNNNNNNNNNNNNNNNNNNNNNNNNNNNNNNNNNNNNNNNNNNNNNNNNNNNNNNUCCCUCCCCAACUCCGCCCUCCCCGCCCUCGCCGACAAGGCCACCGGCCUCGACGCCGCGCGGUCCUGGAUCCGCGCCAACCUCUCCCCCUACGUCCCCGCCACCAACGUCACCCUCCUCCUCGCCGGCAACGAGAUCCUCCUCUCCACCGACACCAACCUCAUCCUCUCCCUCCUCCCCGCCAUGCGCCGCCUCGCGCAGGCCCUCAAGGCCGAGGGCCUCACCGGCGUCCGCGUCACCACCCCGCACUACCUCGGCAUCCUCGCCCCUUCCGACGGCAUCCCCUCCAACGCCUCCUUCCGGGCGGGUUACAACACCAAGCUAUUCCCGGCCAUGCUGCAGUUCCACCGCG
rnacentral:lncRNA from 1 species